AUAGCAUGUAGAGCAAUUUACUCUCAUCGCUGCUGCUCAGACGCACAAACGGACAGACCCCAGAUGACAUAAAACAGCAGACAUCAAGGGGCACCAUCAAAGAUCCGAGGUCGACAAUUUAUUGAAACUCCUCGAAGAAAUGAAACCUUCCAUUUGUGCAACAAGUAGGCAUUGAAAAUAGAAAGCGACUCCCAAAUAAGGUCAACCUAGUUUGCUUUAUUUUACAUGACAUAAGAUCGACAGGAGGCUCAAAAGAGUGCUGGUAAAAUGCCAGUUUAUGAGAUGAAUCACUUUCUGGCAGAUCUAAGGGGCUCACACCGACUGCGCUUUCCUUCAUUGGGUGCUUGUUGCCAGUGCAACGAUCUCAUAGCUGCAGGCUGCCGAACAAAACAAAACAAACAGCAGUCAGUGUAACUGUCAAGUAGAUCACCCAUAAUCAGAUGCAACAACAGGUGCCACCACAAUCUACAAGGCCGAUGAAAUAAAGCACAUAUUUCAAUAUUUGUUCGAUGCCGGAAAAGGUCAACUAAGUACUACAUGCCUCUGUAAACAUAUAUAAGACAUUUUAGGUUGUCUUAUACAUGUUUAAGGGGGGAUAGCAUUGUGUGCUACACAAGAUUUCUCUUCAGAGGUUGAGAGAUUCAGUUUCAAACCUACUGCCUACCGUAAUGAAGAACAUGUUUCUAAACUUCAAGGAUUAUGUGCAGUCUGCCGGUAUGAAAAAGACAACUGUAUUCAGACCUACUGCACACUUCAAGACAAAGCAUGCCCUGAAAAUUGGUGAGAUGAAUAAGUAACUUNNNNNNNNNNNNNNNNNNNNNNNNNNNNNNNNNNNNNNNNNNNNNNNNNNNNNNNNNNNNNNNNNNNNNNNNNNNNNNNNNNNNNNNNNNNNNNNNNNNNAUAUCCUUAAGCUGUUUCCUUUCUCUCUAAAGGAUGACGCUAAAGCUUGGUUCACCUCCCUUGCUCCUGGAUGUGUGAGUAGUCCCGAGGAUAUGGUCUAUUACUUCUGUGAGAAAUAUUUCCCUGCCCAUAAGAAGCAAGCUGCCUUGCAGGAAAUAUGUAACUUUGCUCAACACAAAGAAGAGAGUCUCCCACAAGCUUGGGGGAGGCUCAUCCAGGUACAUAAUGCUUUGCCUGAUCACCCUCUUAAGAAGAACGAGAUACUUGAUAUCUUCUAUAACGGAGUUACCGAUGCUUCUAGAGACCACCUAGACAGUUGUGCCGGUUGUGUUUUUAGGGAACGAACUAUAGAACAAGCUGAGAUUCUACUGAAUAACAUCUUGAUCAACGAUAAUGCUUGGACUAUUCCCGAACCACCUCCUAAGACAACUCCUAAGAAAAGAGGUAUUCUAUUCCUCAAUCCCGAUGAUAUGCAAGAAGCCAAGAAAUCUAUGCAAGAGAAAGGCAUUAGAUCUGAAGAUGUCAAAAAUCUACNNNNNNNNNNNNNNNNNNNNNNNNNNNNNNNNNNNNNNNNNNNNNNNNNNNNNNNNNNNNNNNNNNNNNNNNNNNNNNNNNNNNNNNNNNNNNNNNNNNNAAAAAAAUGUUUCACUCCUUUUGUAAAAUAUACCCCAACUCUAAAGAUAGUUCGGGCAUUUUCUUAAACAAAUAAAAUGAAACUCUAUUAAGAUUUAAAAUAAAACCCUACUUAAAAGAAUUUACAAAGAGAUCAAAACCCUUUUUUUUAAAUAAUUAAAAUAAAGCUCUUUUAACAAGAAGAUAAAAAUAACCCCUUUUCNNNNNNNNNNAAAAGAAUUAAAAUAAAGCUCUUUUAACAAGAAGAUAAAAAUAACCCCUUUUCGAAAGAAUUAAUUAAAGCCUCUUUAUUCAAAGAAUAAACAAGAGCCUUUUAAAAGAGAAAAUAAAAUGGGAGGGCUUUUAAAAUGAAGCAAACGAAGAGUAAAAUUAAAACCUAAGGGUUGCCCCUACAUUUAAUAAAAGGACUUUUUAACAGAAGACGAAUUACUUUGGAAGAGGGGUAAAGUUAGAAAUCUUUAGCAAAACCACAAAACAACUUAGGAGGGGAGAGGAGGGGAGAAGGUCUGCGGUGCAAUGGGGUUUAGCGGUGGCUCUCACGCUCCCUCUCUCAUCGCGGNNNNNNNNNNNNNNNNNNNNNNNNNNNNNNNNNNNNNNNNNNNNNNNNNNNNNNNNNNNNNNNNNNNNNNNNNNNNNNNNNNNNNNNNNNNNNNNNNNNNGCAUGCAAGCUUGGGGGAGGCUUAAAUCAAUGUUAUAUUCAUGCCCCAACCAUGAGCUCUCGAGAGAAAUUAUCAUUCAGAACUUCUAUGCUUGACUUUGUCAUGAUGAUCGCACCAUGCUUGACACUUCUUGUACCGGUUCUUUUAUGAAGAGUGAUAUUGACUUCAGAUGCAAUUUAUUGGAAAGAAUUAAAUGCAACUCUGAAGAUUGGGAGCUUGAUGAAGGUAAGGAGCCAGGUAUGAAUUUCAAGUUUGAUUGCGUUAAAAACUUUGUCGAAACAAAUACUUUUUGUGAUUUUAGCGCUAAGUAUGGACUUGACUCUGAGAUAGUAGCUUCAUUCCUUUGCUCCUCAUAUUGAUCUCCCCAAAGAGAAGUGGUUUAAAUAUCAUCCUCCCUUAGAAGUAAAUGUAGUUAAACCCACUCCAGUUGAAGAGAAAGUCAUUUCCUAUAAUGAUCCUAUUGUUCCCAGUGCUUACAUUGAGAAACCACCUUUCCUUGUUAGGAUAAAGGAUCAUUCUAAAGCUUCAACUGUGAUACAUAGAGGCUACAUUAGAACACCUACACCCCCUGAGAAAAUUAGAGUUGAACCUAACAUUGCUAUUAUCAAAGAUCUCCUGUCCGACAAUGUUGAUGGCCAUGAUAUUCACUUAUGUGAAGAUGCUGCUAGAAUUGCUAAACCACACGCUAGAGACAAACAUAGGCAUGUUGUUGGCACGCCUGUUUUUUUCGUUAAGAUAGGAGAUCAUUGUUAUCAUGGUUUAUGUGACGUGGGUGCUAGUGUUAGUGCAAUACCUACAUCCUUAUAUGAUGAAAUCAAAGACGAGAUUGCACCUAUUGAGAUAGAGCCUAUUGAUGUCACUAUUCAGCUUGCCAAUAGAGAUAAUAUCUUCCCUAUGGGGAUUGUUAGGGAUGUUGAAGUCUUGUGUGGUAAAACGAAGUAUCGUGCUGAUUUCCUCGUUCUUGCUACCACACAAGAUAGCUUUUGUCCCAUCAUAUUUGGCAGGCCUUUUCUCAAUACUGUCAAUGCUCAUAUUGACUGUGAGAAGCAAACGGUCACUGUUGGCUUUGAAGGUGUGUCACAUGAGUUCAAUUUCUCCAAGUUUGGUAGACAACCUCAUGAAAAAGAUUUGCCUAGUAAGGAUGAAACUAUUGCCUUAGCUUCUAUUGUCGUGCCUCCUACUGAUCCCUUAGAGCAAUACUUGCUUGAGCAUGAAAAUGAUAUGCAUAUGGAUGAAAGGGAUGAGAUAGAUAGAGUUGUCUUAGAACAAUAUCCUAUCCUUAAGAAUAAUCUGCCUCUUGAACUGCUUGGGGAUCCACCCCCACCAAAGGAUGAUCCUGUGUUCGAGAUUAAACAGUUGCCUAAUACUCUUAAGUAUGCUUAUUUUGAUGAAAAAGAGAUAUAUCCUGUUAUUAUUAGUGCUAGCCUCUCAGAGCAUGAAGAAAAGAUGUUAUUAAAAACCCUGAGGAAGCACCGUGCUGCUAUUGGAUAUACUCUUGAUGAUCUUAAGGGCAUUAGUCCCACUCUAUGCCAGCACAAGAUUAAAACCGAUCCUGAUUCCAAACUAGUUGCUGAUCUUCAAAGGAGAUUAAAUCCUAAGAUGAAAGAGGUAGUAAGAAAAGAAAUACUACAGCUCCUGGCAGCGGUACUACCUAUCCUAUUGCUCAUAGUGAUUGGGUCAGUCCGGUGCAUUGCGUCCCUAAGAAGGGAGGCAUUACCGUUGUCCCUAAUGAUAAGGAUGAAUUGAUCCCACAGAGGAUUAUUACUAGCUAUAGGAUGGUGAUCAAUUUUAGGAAAUUGAAUAAAGCCACUAGGAAAGAUCAUUACCCUUUGCCUUUUAUCGACCAAAUGCAAGAAAGACUGUCUAAACACACACACUUCUGCUUUCUAGACGGUUAUUCUGGUUUCUCUCAAAUACAAGUUGCACAAGCUGAUCAGGAGAAAAACACUUUCACCUGCCCUUUCGGUACCUUUUCUUAUAGACGUAUGCCUGUUGGCUUAUGUAAUGCACCUGCCACCUUUCAAAGAUGUAUGAUGGCUAUAUUCUUUGACUUUUGUGAAAAGAUUGUUGAGGUUUUCAUGGAUGACUUCUCCGUUUACGGGUCUUCUUUUGAUGAUUGCCUCAGAAACCUUGAUCGAGUCUUGCAGAGAUGUAAAGACACCAACCUUGUCUUGAAUUGGGAGAAGUGCCACUUUAUGGUUAAUGAAGGCAUGUUCUUAGGACAUAAAAUUUCUGAAAGAGGUAUUGAAGUCGAUAAGGCUAAUGUUGAUGCAAUCAAGAAAAUGCCAUACCCCACAGAUAUCAAAGGUAUAAGAAGUUUCAUUGGUCAUGCUGGUUUCUAUAGAAGGUUCAUUAAAGACUUCUCUAAGAUUUCUAGGCCUCUUAACAAUCUCUUGCAAAAGGAUAUUCCUUUUGUUUUUGACGAUGAUUGUGAGGAAGCCUUAUAAAUACUUAAGAAGGCUUUGAUAACUGCACCUAUUGUUCAACCAGCUGAUUGGAACUUACCUUUUGAAAUCAUGUGUGAUGCUAGUGAUUAUGCUGUUGGUGCUAUCCUAGGGCAAAGAGUCGAUAAGAAGUUGAAUGUUAUUCACUAUGCUAGUAAAACUCUAGACAGUGCCCAAAGAAACUAUGCUAUUACGGAAAAGGAAUUUUUCGCAGUCGUGUUUGCAUGUGAAAAGUUCAGGUCCUACAUAGUUGAUUCCAAAGUCACUAUUGACAUUAAUCAUGCUGCUAUUAAGUACGUCAUGGAGAAGAAAGACGCUAAACCUAGACUUAUCAGAUGGGUUCUCUUGCUACAAGAAUUUGAUUUGCAUGCUGUCGACAGGAAGGGUGCUGAUAACCCAAUAGCAGAUAACUUGUCUAGGUUGGAGAAUGUUCUUGUUGACCCACAACCUAUUGAUGAUAGCUUUCCUGAAGAGCAACUGAAUGUCAUCAAUACUUCACGUAGUGCACCAUGGUAUGCUGCAAAUUAUAUCGUUGCCAAAUAUAUACCACCUAGUUUCACAUACCAGCAAAAGAAGAAGUUCUUCUUUGAUUUGAGACAUUACUUCUCGGACGAUCCUCACCUUUAUAAGGAAGGAGUAGAUGGUAUUAUUAGACGUUGUGUACCUGAACAUGAACAGGGACAGAUCCUAUAGAAGUGUCACUCCAAGGCUUACGGAGGACAUCAUGUGGGAGAUAGAACUGCACACAAGGUAUUGCAAUCAGGUUUCUAUUGGCCCACUCUCUUCAAGGAUGCCCGUAAGUUUGUCUUGUCUUGUGACGAAUGUCAAAGAAUAGGCAAUAUCAGUAAACGUCAGGAAAUGCCUAUGAAUUAUUCACUUGUCACUGAACCAUUUGAUGUUUGGGGCUUUGAUUAUAUGGGACCUUUUCCAAAAUCCAACGGGUAUACUCAUAUCUUAGUUGUUGUUGAUUACGUCACUAAGUGGGUAGAAGCUAUCCCAACUAGUAGUGCUGAUCACAACACCUCUAUCAGGAUACUUAAAGAAGUUAUUUUCCCUAGAUUUGGAGUCCCUAGAUAUCUAAUGACCGACGGUGGUUCACAUUUCAUUCAUGGUGCUUUCCGUAAAACGCUUGCUAAGUAUGAUGUCAACCAUAGAAUUGCGUCCCCCUAUCACCCUCAGUCUAGUGGUCAAGUAGAGCUAAGAAAUAGAGAGAUUAAACUAAUUCUGCAAAAGACUGUCAACAGGUCUAGAAAGAAUUGGUCUAAGAUGCUCGAUGAUGCACUAUGGGCUUAUAGAACUGCCUAUAAGAAUCCCAUGGGCAUGUCCCCGUACAAAAUGGUUUACGGCAAAGCCUUUCAUUUACCUCUUGAGCUAGAGCAUAAGGCUUAUUGGGCAAUCAAAGAGCUCAACUUUGAUUUCAAACUUGCUGGUGAGAAGAGGUUAUUUGAGAUUAUCUCACUUGAUGAAUGGAGAACUUAGGCAUAUGAGAAUGCCAAGUUGUUCAAAGAAAAGGUUAAGAGGUGGCAUGAUAAAAGGAUAAAAAAGCGUGAGUUCAAUGUAGGUGAUUAUGUCUUGCUAUAUAAUUCUCGUUUAAGAUUUUUUGCAGGCAAGCUUCUCUCUAAAUGGGAAGGUCCUUACAUUGUUGAGGAAGUAUAUCGUUCCGGUGCUAUCAAGAUCAACAACACGGUAGGUAAUUGUCCGAGAGUGGUAAAUGGGCAGAGAAUCAAGCAUUAUAUCUUAGGUACUCCCAUAAAUGUUGAAAGCAAUAUUAUCAAUACCAUAACUCCGGAGGAGUACCUAAGGGAUAUUUAUCAGCCUGUUUCAGACUCCGAAAACGAAGAGGUAUGUGAUUCGGUAAGGAAACGGACUCCAAAACUUUUCCAGUAGGAACUUUUCUCCGUUUUGGAAUUUUUGAAAAAAUAGAAAAUUUUGAAGUAGUCCGGAAAGCGCACGAGGAGGCGACAAGCCUGCCAGGCCCGGGCCACCCCCUGGCCGUGCCUGGGGGGCUUGUGGCCACCUCGUGUGCCUCCCGGACUCUAUUUUCUUGCGGAGUACUCCUUGUGGUAUGGAAAAAAAUCAUUAUAUAUUCUCCCGAAAGGUCUGACCCUCGUGUCACGCAAUUUUCCUCUGUUUUCGUUUCGAGCCUGUUUUCUGCCGCAGAUUUAGGGCAAGAUGUCUUCUCAAGAUUCAGAGGGGGAGAGCUAUGUGGCCGAUUACCUUGCCAACCCCAAGGUCUAUGGGGACUUGGAUCCUUAUGGUUGGACCACUGAUGAGGAAGAAUAUUAUGAUCCCAAGGGGAAGGAACGAACAAGUUUUGAUGAGGAGGAGGCUCCUCUACCUCAACUUGGACACACGCAUGUGGAGUUCAAGAAGUUGAGCCUCCCUAACUCAAGGAAGAAGACUAAGACUUUGUUUAUCCCUUCUCGUUUCUUGCAGGAGAGUAAGCAGGAAUUAUGCAAAAGGGUGUUGAGGUUUGAAGAUGAAAUUGAUGAUCUCACUACUGGAAUUCAGAAAUUUGCCGUCUCCCUUUCCUUUGCCGUCUGCUGACACAUGGCAAAGACCUUCUUUGCCAUCAGCUGGCGCAAAGCAGACGACAAAGACAACACCUAAGGCAAAAAAAUUCUUUGCCGUCGGCCUUCCCUAUGCCGUCGGCCAGCGGACGGCAAAGGAACCACAGGCGGACGACAAAGGGGUGGAAGACGGCAAAGGGGGUGCCACCGUACACCCCCUCCCACCCCAUAACGGGCGCUCCCUUUGCCGUCUGCCCUCCUUCUCUUUGCCGUCGGGGGCGGACGACAAAGCGAGCCCCCCCUAACGGCCGUCUCCCUCUCCCUCUCAUUCUUAUCCGCUCCGACAGUCUCCUCCGCUCCGACAGUUCUCUCAGCCGCUCGUCCCCCGCCCGCCGGCUGCCUCCCCUCCCGCCAGCCGCCUCCUCCCCAGCCCCCUCCUCCCCUCCUACAGCACCCCUCCUCCCCGCCCGCGGCCGCCUCCCCUCNUUUAAUUAGAUUUAGUUAGUUGAUUUGAAUAGUAGGUUUAGUUAGUUAUUUGAUUUGUUAAUUUAGAGGUAGAUCCUAUUUUGUUAAUUAGUGGUAGAUUCUUUUUUAGUUAAUGAUUGGUAGAUUUUCUUUUUGUUAUUUUCUUGCUAUUUAGUGCUAUAUAGGUUUAGCGAUAGGUUUAGUGAUAGGUUUAGAUUCUACAUAGUAAUAAUUGAAAUAAGUAGAAAAAAGAUGAAGAAUAAAAGAAGAAUAAGUAGAUAAGGGAAGAAGAAUAAGAAGAAGAGGAGGAGGNNNNNNNNNNNNNNNNNNNNNNNNNNNNNNNNNNNNNNNNNNNNNNNNNNNNNNNNNNNNNNNNNNNNNNNNNNNNNNNNNNNNNNNNNNNNNNNNNNNNNNNNNNNNNNNNNNNNNNNNNNNNNNNNNNNNNNNNNNNNNNNNNNNNNNNNNNNNNNNNNNNNNNNNNNNNNNNNNNNNNNNNNNNNNNNNNNNNNNNNNNNNNNNNNNNNNNNNNNNNNNNNNNNNNNNNNNNNNNNNNNNNNNNNNNNNNNNNNNNNNNNNNNNNNNNNNNNNNNNNNNNNNNNNNNNNNNNNNNNNNNNNNNNNNNNNNNNNNNNNNNNNNNNNNNNNNNNNNNNNNNNNNNNNNNNNNNNNNNNNNNNNNNNNNNNNNNNNNNNNNNNNNNNNNNNNNNNGAAGAAGAAGAAGAAAAGGAAGGAAGGAAGAAGAAGAAGAAGAAAAGGAAGAGGAGGAAAAAAAAGAAGAUGAUGAAGAAGAAAAUGACACCCUGACACCUCGACACCCCGACACGAUGCCUGAAACCCCGACACGACAUCCUGACGACACCCUGGCAGAAUACGCCGCCCCCGACGCCACUGAUCACCAACCCCCGACCUCCGACACCUCUUGGGCCUCUUGUUGACCGAAAAGUCCCCCGACCACCGACCCCUGACGCCACUGACCCUGGACCCCCGACGACACUGACCCCCGACCACCGACGACACUAACCCCCGAACCCCGACGCCACCGACACCCGACACCAUCGACCCUCGACGGCACUGAGUCCCGACGCCACUAACCCCCGACCCCGACAACUCUUCUGCCUACGGUUGAACGAGAAGGUGCUUUUCGGCCUUCCACAAACCGACGGGGUCAUAGUUUUGUAAAUUAUGAGUUAGGUCACAUAUUUUCCGAUUAUGUUAAUUAUAAAAACAUCAUAUUUGUGUUGAUCGUGUGAAUUUCAAUGUCCAGUUGUUCGACGCCUCCACGUGACGAGCUUCGUCCUUGCGUUUGUUGGUGAGCACAAAUGACUUCUCCUCCUACCCCCUUAAUUUGCUCUGUCCCGGUCUUCGUGCCGAUGAAACUUGCUAGCUAUAGGUUUCUUCAAUCAUGAGUAUGCGUGAUCAGUAUGCGUCUCCCGUUCGAAAGGGUGACAUCUAUAAAUAUGCAUGUCUUUGCAUAUUUAUAACCGCCAUCCUUUCGAAUUGUCCAACAUUAUCCAUGGACAGCCCGAGUAUGUGUAGAUUUGGUUUGUUUUCCCGUAUGCUGUGCUCCGGAUCCGAUGCGGAAUUUCGUCAGUGCCUCCCCUGUUGUUCUCCGGGUACACAUCCUCUCUGCUUAUUGCCGAGACGUGUAUGAGAAGAACAGCGGGGAGGUGCUGCCAAAAUUCUGCGUCGCAUCUGGAGCACAGCAUGGGAAAACGAACCCAAUCUACACAUACUCGGGUGGGAUUAGGACCUAUCUUUACCUAUUAGCGUGUAGGCUGCAUGGACGUAAUAAAACUGACAAACUUGAUUAGCGUAUGAAUAUAGAUGAUGAAUUAUAUAUUUAUUUCUUGUGCCCCAUAGGUAGCUAGGCAACAUGAGUGAUCGUGCUUGGAUGUACACUGGUCACCCUAGUCAGAAAGACAUGACCCAUGAAUGGUUAACAAAAACCAGGGGGUUUGUGAGAGCCGCAUUUGCAAAUGGCCAGCAAAAAACAUGGUGCCUCUGUCCCAACUGCGACAACUGGAAAAAGCAGACAAAGUUUGAAAUGGGUAAACACCUGCAGAAGUGGGGUUUUACGCCUAAUUAUACGGUGUGGACUUUUCAUGGUGAGUCUGACCAACGUGCCAGAGCUGAGGUGAUUCGUCGUCGCACCGACGAGCAUGGUACCGGGAUUGAAGACAUGGUGCAAGACUUUGAUGAUGCUCGAGAUUCAGAUGAUGAGAUGGAGGAAUCUGCAAAGGCCGUCUAUGAAAUGUUGGAGUCUUCAAAACAUCCUCUCCACGAGCAGACUGAGCUUUGUCAGCUGGAUGCCAUCGCGCAAGUAAUGGCUCUCAAGGCUCAAUUCAACCUAGGCAGAGAAUGCUAUGACGUGAUGAUGACGAUAUUUGGACGCUUUCUACCCAAAGGCCAUGUAUUGCCUGCAAACCUGUACCAGUCAGAGAAAAUCCUCCGUGUACUUAAGAUACCCUAUGAGAAGAUACAUGCCUGUGAGAAUGGAUGUGCCUUAUUUAGGCUUGAGUAUGCGGCCUUGAACUAUUGCCCCAUUUGCAAUUCUUCCAGGUAUAUUGUGGUAGACAACGACAUGGGUGAGAAGAAUCAGACAAAAAUCCUCAUUAGUGUUCUUCGGUAUCUGCCAAUCGUACCAAGACUUCAACGUUUUUUCAUGGUUGGAGAGUCGGCCAGACAGAUGACAUGGCACAAAUUGGGCAAAAGAACCGAACUAGAUGCGGAUGGGAACAAGAUGCUGGUACACACUUCAGAUGGUUUUGCGUGGAGGCACUUCGAUGCAUUACAUAAGGAUAAAUCGGAAGAUCCAAGGCAACCUAGAGUUGCCAUCAACACGGAUGGGUUCAAUGUGUAUGGUAUGAUGACAGCACAAUACAGUUGUUGGCCUGUAUUUGUCAUUCCACUAAAUUUGCCACCCGGAGAGAUUAUGAAAAGACAGAACAUUUUCCUGGCGUUGAUAAUUCCAGGGCCCAACUAUCCGGGGAAGAAUAUGAAUGUGUACAUGCAGCCGCUUAAGGAUGAGUUGCAAGAAGCUUGGGAUAAUGGGAUCAAGACCUACGACGCGGCUACCAAAACAAAUUUCAAAAUGCAUGUGUGGUACAUGUAGUCGACGCAUGAUUAUCUGGCGUUUGCGCUAUUCGCUGGCUGGUAUGUGCAUGGAAGGUUCCCGUGCACCACAUGCAAGGCAGCUCUUCAGUUCUGUUGGCUGCAGGCUGGUCGCAAGUAUUCUUGCUUCGACAUGCAUAGAGAAUUCCUCGAUCCUGACCAUAAGUUCAGAAAAGAUAAGAAGAAUUUCAUCAAAGGUAGAGUUGUCAAAAACACUGCACCAGCUGCGUUGACAGGCCAACAGACCCUUGAUCAGUUAAACGCUCUCGAGCUUGAUCCUUUGCAUCCAGGAUACUUCAAAGGGUAUGAUACGGAACACGCCUGGACUCACAAGUCAUGCUUAUGGGAUCUGCCUUACUUCAAAGACCUCCUUUGCCCACACAACAUUGACGUGAUGCACACUGAAAAGAAUAUUGCGGAGGCCAUUUUUGGUACAUUGUUCGUCAUAGAGGGGAAGUCAAAAGAUAAUCCUAAUGCUAGAAUCGACCUGGAGGCUCUAUGUGAUAGACCGUUGCAAAACUUGCGACAACGGAAAGGAAAGCAAAGCAUAGCGAAGCCAAAGGCAUGGUUCAAUCUUGAAAGGCCAGCUAUGAGGGAAAUGCUAUUGUGGGUGAAAAUGCGGUUGAUGUUCCCCGAUGGGUAUGCUGCGAAUCUAAAGAGGGGAGCCAGUCUUGAGAAAUUGAAAAUAUUUGGGCUCAAGAGUCAUGAUUGGCACAUAUGGUUUGAGCGCGUAAUGCCGGUGAUGUUGCGUGGCUUUAUCCCUGAGGAUGAAUGGCUAGUACUGGUAGAGCUGAGCUAUUUCUUUCGUUCUCUUUGUGCGAAAGAAUUAUUGCCUGGUGUGCUAGAUGAAAUGGAAGAGUUGGUGCCGGAGUUGAUUUGCAAAUUAGAAAAGAUCUUUCCACCGGGUUUCUUUAAUCCAAUGCAACAUUUGAUUUUGCAUCUCCCGACUGAGGCAAGAAUGGGGGGCCCGUUCAAAACCGAUGGUGGUACUCAACUGAGAGGAUGCAGAAGACGCUUCGAGCUAAGUGUAAAAAUAAACGUAGAAUUGAAGCAUCGAUGGCCGAGGCAUUCAUUACUGAGGAGGCAACAAACUUCGUGACAGCACACUACGAAGCCAAAAAUCAUCAUUUGCAUAACCCGAAGCCUCGGUACAAUGAUGGCGAUCGAAAAAAAGUUUGAUCCAACCUCAGCCUAUUCAAAGGUAAGCUUGCACCAUCCGGUGCUCCGAAAGGGAAAUCGUUGGAUGUCAAAGAAUGGCGGACCAUUUCAUUGUAUAUCUUCACCAACCUAACAGAAGUGUGGCCGUACAUCGAGUAAGUUCACGGUAAUUUAGUGUUCCGCAACUUCUAAUUGCUUUGAACUACUCUUAUUCUCGGAUAUUUGAUAUAGUCGAUACAUCGCCGAAUUCUCGGAUGGAGUGGUCAUCGAAAAGGAUUCCGUCGAAGAGUAUGAGCUUCUCGCAAAGCAUGGAGGCGACUAUCCCGGUUUCAUCUCUUGGUUCAAACAAAGGGUAAUUAAUUACCAUUAAGGGCCCAUUUGAUUUCUUGGUCUAAUUUGCGGCUAAUGCAUCCAUUCUUUCGUAUUAAACUUGUAGCCUGAUGCAGAGUCUAUGGACCGCGAGUUGAGACAAGUCGCUAAUGGUUUUGACUAUAAGGUCCGUUCAUUUGACAAAUACAACAUCAACGGGUAUCACUUUCGUACCUUUGGCAAAGAGCUAUCUAUGCCCGACCUAAAGACUACAAAGUGUUCUGUCUCUGCUAUCGGCAAAGGAGACACCGAGUAUUAUGGAAGAGUUGAAGCAAUUUAUGAACUUCUAUUCUAUGGUGAAAACCCACCGACCGUCGUAGUCUUCAAAUGUUAUUGGUUCGAGCCGAGGGAGACUAGAAGGACUCAUGAACAUAUAGGACAAGUCGAAAUCAACCAAAACACCCACUUAGAUGUUCCCGAUGUCUAUAUUACGGCUCAACAGGCGACACAAGUUCUCUAUCUACCGUGGGCCUGCCAAACUGAUCCAAAUCUCAAAGAUUGGGAUGUUGUUUAUGAAGUGCCACCCUCAAUGAAGAGGAUUAUGAAUCUCACAUUAACCCAGACUCAUAUGAAGGAGAAUUCUUCCAAGAAACACGUAUGUCCAAGAAACGUUUCAAGAACCGCUCUACUUCACCCCAUAACAUUGAAGUAGACAGCGACAGUGAAUCCGUCUUAACCCCUAAGCCCGAACAGGAAGAGCUGGAAGAAGAAGAGGUUACUGCUGCGGAUGACCUGUACUUCUUGACCGAUUACAUAAUGGUGGCCUUCCACAUGUUCUUCGUGAUAGUGAUGAUGAUGAUGCAUUUAUUGAUGAUAGUGAUGAUCAUGAUGCAUUUAUUGACCCCGAAGCAUAUAUAGACGAGCACGAUUGUUAUUAGUUCAUGUCAGAUAUUCAACUAUUAUACUAUAUAUAAAUUUUGAGUUCAUGUUAGGUAUUCAAUUUUUAUUAGUCAUGUUGGUAUUUAUGACGAUGAUACACUUAAAUUAUAUACAUUUUAUUACUCCUGUUGGUAUUUAUGUUGUACUAAUUUCAUUUACUCUUUGUCAUGACAGGUGUUGAAAGAUGGUGGGAAAGGGUCGAAAGCACUCCGCGGCUCCUUCUUCUUUGGCGGGUGAUGGGAUGGGUACUUCCAUUUCUGCCUCGCCUCUUCGGAGAGUGUUGCUCUCUACUAUGCAAGGAGCUCCCCCGUGAGAGGAGGUCGACCCCCCGCGAAGUCGAGAGGCACUAAAGGUACACGUUGUAUUCAUGUUGGUAUUUAUGUUGUACUCAUGUUGUAUGCAUAUUGGUGUUUAUAUACAUUUUAUUACUCAUGUUGGUAUUUAUGUUGUACUAAAGGUACAUGUGGCCGCGGGAGAGGUAGGGCGGUGGCUGCCACGCCUUCUGAGGUGGCGGCUACACGGUCUCUGCCACCACCCCAAGCUGAUUCACCUAAGCACAGGACUUCUAGGGUGGAUUCGUUUGAGGUGGAAGCUACACGGUCUCCGGUUCACGAGCCUCGGGUCGACGAGCCUCAGGUCGACGAGCCUUAGACCCACGAGACUCGUGUCCCAGAGGCUUCCUUCCAGGCGACUUCGGAGCAAAGCAGGGAUGAGGGUACGUCUCAAGAGACCCAGUGGGAUGCUGAUAGCGAUGAGGAGCUGGGUGAGGGGGCUACCGUCUACCAGCAUGGUAGUUCGGGGCUCCCGCUCGUGCCAGCGACCCCCGAGCAGAGGUGGUCGAUUAGGCCAAAUCGGGACAAGUUAGUUAAUUUACUCUUAUUUAACCUUUGGCCUUCACGUUUUCUCAAAUAUCUAAUGUUUUGGCUUUAAUUUGUCAUACUGUAGGGGUUGGAUUGUUGCCAAGGGUGUCCACAAGCCCAACAUCGUCCUUGGUGUUCUUUGCCGUAAAAACUUCUGAGGGUUUGUUAAGUUGCCCGGUCGGGAGUGAGAGGUAGGAAUGACCUCGGAGCACUACUUGGGUGCCCUGGCCCCGCUGGAGGUGGAGAUCGACGGUGUUUUGUGCGACACGAGGGCGGACAUGGUGAUCCGAAAGUUCUGGGUAAUUUCUCCUUCACACAAUUAUAAAUCAACCAUAGCUAUUUAUUGUACUAAUCGGUGUUGUCUCGUUUGUAGACCUACUACAGGUGUGAGGAGGGAUACGAGGAGGACGCACAAAGGUUAUCGAAACCGAAUGUCGCCGCCUACUUCAAUACUUUCGGCACGAGGCUCGGGUGCAGGCUGUUCGAGACUACUAUGCCACGUGGCGCAUUAGGAUUGACAAGGCGAAGUGCCGUGAUGCUAAGAUGGAGAAGGAGAAUUACAUGAAGGUAAUUACAUAUUAUUAAGGCUUUGUAGUUAGUUUCCUUGAUUUGGUUCUUACGCGCUCAAAUUUCUCUUUAUUAACUUAGGUGCCCCCGAGAUGGUGUGUGGAUAAGAUGGAUUGUUGGGAGGCCUUGGUGGAUCAGUGGUGCUCCGAAACGUGGGAGGCCAGCCACAACAACGCCAAGGAGAGGCGUGGAAAACUGGUUGGCGUGCCACACAAUCAAGGGAGCGUCAACUUAAUCCAAUUUGGCAAGAACUGGGUAUGUGGUUUGCUUCAUGCCUCAUGCAAUUUAUUCUUAAUGCUAUCUUGAGCCCUUUACUAAUACAAUUUUCCUCUCUCUCUCUUUUAGGCGCGUCACAAUAAGACGGAGGCGCCACAGAUGUACGACCUGUAUGCGAUGGCCCAUACUUCCUCGUACAAGAAGGUCAAGGCAUUCUCUGAGUCUGACCUCGAGCAUCCAGAAAACUUCACCAACAUCUCCUCCCACCACAAGCUCGUGAAGUACAGAGAUCACGGGAAGGCGAGGAAAGGGGAGGCCUUUAACCCGAGCGAGGGGCCUAUUGAUCAAGAGCUGGUGAUGAUAGCUGGUAACGGGAGGCCCCAUGGCUCGAUCGCCAUUGGAGACGGCCUUAUACGUUGUCCUAGCACUCUCCGGCAGAUAAAGGCACGCCAAACAAGCUCUUGUCUGGAGAUAACACGUCGUCCACGGCCAAUCGAGCUCGCCAUCGAGGUUAGUUUAAUGGACUCAACUAUCUUUCCGCAUUAUGUUGUGCGUUGGAACCAAUAUAUUAGAUUGCUAACAAUGAGUUGUGUUGCAGGCUGCUAUUCAGAAAGAGAGAGAGGCAAUGCACGCGGCUAUGGUGGAGAAGGAUAAGGAAAUUAGGGAGCUGGAUGGGAGGACGACUGCAUUGGUGGAGGCGGAGAGGGCACGGAAUGAUGCGUCUAACACGGCCAUAUACGAGCUCUUCGUGGUAAGUUUCUUCUUCAUGUUAUUUCAAAUCUUGCAUUUGAAUGUCCAUUUCAUUAAUAAAUAAAAAGUUUGACUUGUCGAAACCAAAUGUACAGUCUAUGUGCGAGAAGAGCGGCCAAGUCCCUUCGCCGAUGCCAGUCAUUAACGUGGCGGGGACGGUGAGUUUCAUUUCAGUGCAGUGAUGUUAAGAGUGUCCUCAUGCUAACUACACAUUGCAAACGAUGUUUGGUGCAGAAUAUCUCCCGAAACGCAUCGCACGACCCUUCUACAGUCGAGCCUUCUCCAGGUGAAACAAGCCAGAGCCACCGUGCUUCACCGCUGUGAUGACGAUAAUGGUAUGUUAUUUCUAGUGUUUUAAUAAAAAAUAGCUAGACUUCCAUCUAAAUGACAUAAUUAGCUUAGUUAGCUCCAAGAAAGGCUAAAUUGGCUAAUUAUCCUACGAAAUGACAUAAUUAGCUUAGUUAGCUCGAGAAUGACCUAUUUAAUAAAAAAUGACCUAUAGUUAGCUAAGUUCUCUCCUAAAUGACAUAAUAAGGCUUACGUUGUUGCAAGAUGACCUAUUCCNNNNNNNNNNNNNNNNNNNNNNNNNNNNNNNNNNNNNNNNNNNNNNNNNNNNNNNNNNNNNNNNNNNNNNNNNNNNNNNNNNNNNNNNNNNNNNNNNNNNNNNNNNNNNNNNNNNNNNNNNNNNNNNNNNNNNNNNNNNNNNNNNNNNNNNNNNNNNNNNNNNNNNNNNNNNNNNNNNNNNNNNNNNNNNNNNNNNNNNNNNNNNNNNNNNNNNNNNNNNNNNNNNNNNNNNNNNNNNNNNNNNNNNNNNNNNNNNNNNNNNNNNNNNNNNNNNNNNNNNNNNNNNNNNNNNNNNNNNNNNNNNNNNNNNNNNNNNNNNNNNNNNNNNNNNNNNNNNNNNNNNNNNNNNNNNNNNNNNNNNNNNNNNNNNNNNNNNNNNNUUACCCAAGUUAGCUCCGAAACAACGUAUAGUUAGGUAGGGAUCCACCUAGAUGACAUAAUUAGCUUAGUUAGCUCCUAAAUGGUCUAUUUAAUAAAACAUGACCUAUACUUAGCUAAUUAUCCUCGAAAUGACGUAAUUAGCUCCAAAAAGGCAUUCUAAGCCAAUUUAGCCCAAAGAAGGGGACAAGAGGAGAAGAAAGAGGAAAAAUGAAAGGAAGGAAGAAGAAGAAGAAGAGAAUAAGAAGAAGGAGAAGGAGGAGGAUAAGAAGAAGGAGAAGGAGGAGAAGAAGGAGAAGGAGCUCCUCCUUCUCCUUCUUCUUCUUCCUCCUUCUUCCUCCUUCUCCUUCUCCUUCUUAUUUUCUUAUUCUUCUCCUCUUCCUUCUCCUCCUCCUCCUCCUCCUCCUUCUUUUACUUCUUCUUCUCUUUAUCUUCUUCUACGAAGCUUAGACUCAUCCAAGAAAGGCUAAAUUGGCUAAUUAUCCUACGAAAUGACAUAAUUAGCUUAUUAGCUCCAAAAUGACCUAUUUAAUAUAAAAUGACCUAUAGUUAGCUAAGUUCUCUCCUAAAUGACAUAAUAAGGCUUACGUAGCUCCAAGAGGACCUAUCACUCUAACUUAGAUAUUAAAUGGCCUAUAAUUAGCCUAGCUAGAUCCAAAAUGGCUUAAUAAGCAUAGUUUGCUCCGGAAUGACCUAUUUUACCCAAGUUAGCUCCGGAACAACCUAUAGUUAGCUAGGGUUCCACCUAGAUGACAUAAUUAGCUUCGUUAGCUCCUAAAUGGUCUAUUUAAUAAAACAUGACCUAUACUUAGCUAAUUAUCCUCGAAAUGACAUAAUUAACUCCAAAAAGGCAUUGUAAGCCAAUUUAGCUCGAAGAAGGGGCCAAGAGGAGAAGAAAGAGGAAAAAUGAAAGGAAGGAAGAAGAAGAAGAAGAAGAGAAGAAGAAGAAGGAGAAGGAGGAUGAUAAGAAGAAGUAUAAGAAGGAGGAGAAGAAGGAGAAGGAGCUCCUCCUUCUCCUUCUUCUUCCUCCUUCUUCUCCUUCUUCUUCCUCCUUCUUCCUCCUUCACCUUCUCCUUCUUCUUUUCUUCUUCUUCUCCUCUUCCUUCUCCUCCUCCUCCUCCUUCUUUUACUUCUUCUUCUCUUUCUCUUCUUCUAUGUAGCUUAGACUCAUCCAAGAAAGGCUAAAUUAGCUAAUUAUCCUACGAAAUGACGUAAUUAGCUUAGUUAGCUCAAAAUGACCUAUUUAAUAAAAAAUUACCUAUAGUUAGCUAAGUUCUCUCCUAAAUGACAUAAUAAUGCUUACGUAGCUGCAAGAUGACCUAUUCCCCUAACUUAGGUAUUAAAUGGCCUAUAAUUAGCCUAGCUAGAUCCAAAAUGGCUUAAUAAGCAUAGUUUGCUCCGGAAUGACCUAUUUUACCCAAGUUAGCUCCGGAACGACCUAUAGUUAGCUAGGGUUCCACCUAAAUGACAUAAUUAGCUUAGUUAGCUCCUAAAUGGUCUAUUUAAUAAAAACAUGACCUAUACUUAGCUAAUUAUCCUCGAAAUGACAUAAUUAGCUCCAAAAAGGAAUUCUUAGCCAAUUUAGCCCGAAGAAGGGGACAAGAGGAGAAGAAAGAGUAAAAUUAAAGGAAGGAAGAAGAAGAAGAAGAGAAGAAGAAGAAGGAGAAGGAGGAGGAUAAGAAGAAGGAGAAGAAGGAGGAGAAGAAGGAGAAGGAGCUCCUCCUUCUCCUUCUUCUUCCUCCUUCUCCUUCUCCUUCUUCUUUUCUUCUUCUUCUCCUCUUCCUUCUCCUCCUCCUCCUCCUCCUUCUUUUACUUCUUCUUCUCUUUUUCUUCUUCUACGUAGCUUAGACUCAUCCAAGAAAGGCUAAAUUGGCUAAUUAUCCUACGAAAUGACAUAAUUAGCUUAGUUAGCUCCAAAAUGACCUAUUUAAUAAAAAAUGACCUAUAGUUAGCUAAGUUCUCUCCUAAAUGACAUAAUAAGGCUGACGUAGCUGCAAGAUGACCUAUUCCCCAUAAAUUUGGUAUUAAAUGGCUUAUAAUUAGCCUAGCUAGAUCCAAAAUGGCUUAGUAAGCAUAGUUUGCUCCGGAAUGACCUAUUUUACCCAAGUUAGCUCCGGAACGACCUACAGUUAGCUAGGGUUCCAUCUAGAUGACAUAAUUAGCUUNNNNNNNNNNNNNNNNNNNNNNNNNNNNNNNNNNNNNNNNNNNNNNNNNNNNNNNNNNNNNNNNNNNNNNNNNNNNNNNNNNNNNNNNNNNNNNNNNNNNNNNNNNNNNNNNNNNNNNNNNNNNNNNNNNNNNNNNNNNNNNNNNNNNNNNNNNNNNNNNNNNNNNNNNNNNNNNNNNNNNNNNNNNNNNNNNNNNNNNNNNNNNNNNNNNNNNNNNNNNNNNNNNNNNNNNNNNNNNNNNNNNNNNNNNNNNNNNNNNNNNNNNNNNNNNNNNNNNNNNNNNNNNNNNNNNNNNNNNNNNNNNNNNNNNNNNNNNNNNNNNNNNNNNNNNNNNNNNNNNNNNNNNNNNNUGACAUAAUUAGCUCCAAGAACGAAUUCUUAGCCAAUUUAGCCCGAAGAAGGGGACAAGAGGAGAAGAAAGAGGAAAAUAAAAGGAAGGAAGAAGAAGAAGAAGAGAAGAAGAAGAAGAAGAAGGAGAAGGAGGAGGAUAAGAAGAAGUAUAAGAAGGAGGAGAAGAAGGAGAAGGAGCUCCUCCUUCUCCUUCUUCUUCGUCCUUCUCCUUCUCCUUCUUCUUUUCUUCUUCUUCUUCUCUUCCUUCUCCUCCUCCUCCUCCUCCUCCUCCUCCUUCUUUUACUUAUUCUUCUCUUUCUCUUCUUCUACAUAGCUUAGACUCAUCCAAGAAAGGCUAAAUUGGAUAAUUAUCCUACGAAAUGACAUAAUUAGCUUAGUUAGCUCCAAAAUGACCUAUUUAAUAAAAAAUGACCUAUAGUUAGCUAAGUUCUCUCCUAAAUGACAUAAUAAGGCUUACGUAGCUGCAAGAUGACCUAUUCCCCCUAACUUAGGUAUUAAAUGGCCUAUAAUUAGCCUAGCUAGAUCCAAAAUGGCUUAAUAAGCAUAGUUUGCUCCGGAAUGACCUAUUUUAUCCAAGUUAGCUCCGAAACGACCUAUAGUUAGCUAGGGUUCCACCUAAAUGACAUAAUUAGCUUAGUUAGCUCCUAAAUGGUCUAUACUUAGCUAAUUUCUCUCUGAAAUAACCUAUAUAUACACUUCUUCAUCUACUAUUAUUCUUCUAACUUUCUUAUUUGUCAUUUUGCAGAUUACCUUCACUUCACGGGAAGCUUGGAUUAUAUUGAUGGAAUGCUUGAAGGUGAUUUCUUGUACCAUGGCUUGUAUUGAAACUAUUGUAGUAUAUGGAUAUAUAUGAAACUUUGUAUGCAUGUGGAUGAAACUUGUGUAAUAUAUGGUUUGGUACGGAUGCAACUUGCAUAAUAUGUAUGCACUAUGGAUGAGAGUUAUUUUAAUAUGGUUAUGAGUACGGAAAGAAAUUUAUUUAUGUCAAAUAUAUAUAUAUAUAUAUCCUGAUUAUUGUUAAAAAUGCUGGAUAUAAUAAAAAAUAAAUUAAAAAGGGGUUGGUUCCCCUCUUUGUCGUCUGCCCCCACAUGGCAUACGGCAAAGGGGGGAAUCUGCCCCCUCUCUCUCCCCUCUUUGCCGUCUGCCCCCAGAUGGCAAAGGGGGGUAGGCAGACGGCAAAGGGGGGAAUCUGCCCCCUCUCUCUCCCCUCUUUGCCGUCUGCCCCCAGAUGGCAAAGGGGGGUGGGAAGACGACAAAGGGGGGAAUCAGCCCCCCUCUCUCCCCUCUUUGCCGUCUGCCCCCGCAUGGCAAAGGGGGGAUGGCAGACGGCAAAGAGAGGAGGCCUACCGUUAACACUUAACGGGGCCGUUGCACUAUGUGCCGUCCCAUUUUGUUUGUCGUCUGCCCCCUCAUGGCAAAGAUUCUUUGCCGUCCGCUUUACGAAAGCAGACGGUAAAGAACCUCUUCACCGGAUAUUUUUUACCGUCUAGUUUGCCGUCUGCUGACCGACGGCAAAGCCUUUGCCGUCCGUGGUUCCCCCCUUUGCCGUCUGCCAUGGGAGAUGGCAAAUCUUUGAAUUUCAGUAGUGUCUGAGGGAGUAGAAUUUUAUGCUCAAGUGGAAAUUAAACAAGUUUAAGACCUCUGCAACAACUCCAUCACCAUCACCUCCAAAGGAAGACAACUGAGCAUGGGUAUGGGCAAUCCCCUUGGCUUGUGCCAAGCUUGGGGGAGUUGCCCCGGUAUCGUAUCACCAUCACAUCUUUUGCCUUUACCUUUCUUAGUUUGUUCCCUUUUGGUUUUAUCUUUCUCUAGUAGAUUAAAGGUCUUAGUGUUUUAGGCUUGAGUUUUGCUUGGUGUCACCCCCGAUGUAUUCGAGCUCGUUAGCCAUAUAAGAAAGAGUGUCUUAGUUAAGGGCCUUGUCCCAUGCCAUGAUCAAAAGGAUGAGAAAAGAACAAAAGCAUGAUAGAUCAUGUAAUGAUCUUAUGGGAAGUGAUGGCUUCACAUAUAAAAAGAAUGUUGAUUGAAACUUGUUGAGGGUAGACAAACGUAGACCUUGGUCAUUGUUGCAAUUAAUAGGAAGUGAUAAAGAAGGAGAGGUUCACAUAUAAAUAUAUCAUCUUUGACCCCAUCUAUGAUUGUGAACACUCACUAAACUAUUACAUGCUUAGAAGUAGAUGUUGGACAAGGAAGACAAAAUAAUGAAUUGUGUUUGGUUGGUUCCGAACAAUAUUAUAUGACUAGAGAUCCCUUAGCAUGUGACGAUUGCUUCCACCUCAUAUUAGCCAAACCUCCCGCACCAAGUAGAGAUACUACUUGUGCAUCCAUAAACCUUCAACCCAGUUUUGCCAUGAGAGUCCACCAUACCUACCUAUGGAUUGAAUAAGAUCCCUCAAGUAAGUUGUCAUCGGUGCAAGCAAUAAAAAUUGCUCCCUAAUUAUGUAUGAUCUAUUAGUGUGUGGAAAAUAAGCUUUGUACGAACCUGUGAUGAGGAAUAAAUAAAAGUGACAGACUGCAUAAUAAAGUUCUUUAUCACAGGAGGCAAUAUAAAGUGACGUUCCUCCACACUAAGAGGACACACAUCCAAACCUCAAAAGCGCAUGACAACCUCUGCUUCCCUCUGCGAAGGGCCUAUCUUGUACCUUUACUUUUUUCCCUUGAAAGAGUCAUGGUGAUCUACACCAAUUCCUUAUUUCGCCUUUAUCUUGGCUAACGUCAUAUGCUAGGGAAAGAUCUGUAUUCAUAUGUAAAAUUGGAAGUAAGUAUUCAUGAAUUAUUAUUGUUGACAUUACCCUUGAGGUAAAUGGUUGGGAGGCAAAACUAUAAGCCCCUAUCUUUCUCUAUGUCCAACUGAAACUUUGAUCUCAUGAGUACCACUUGAGUUGUACCAAUUGUAGAGAACGAAAAGAUGAUUGAGUAUGUGGAUAUGCUUUACAAGCUCUUAUUUGACUCUUUCCGAUGUUGUGAUAAAUUGCAAUUGCUUCAAUGACUAAAGGCUAUCGGUUGUUCAUUCUCGGUAAGGUUCUUGAUCCAUACUUUACUUUGUGAAGGAAUUGUCACUUUAGCAUAAGAGAUGAUAUGAUGGUAUCGCUAUUCUGAUCAUGAUCAUGAUGCCUGCAUGUUCGUAUCUUGUUUUGUCGACACCUCUCUCUAAACAUGUGGGCAUAUUUAUUAAUCUCGGCUUUCGGUUGAGGACAAGCGAGGUCUAAGCUUGGGGGAGUUCAUACGUCCAUUUUGCAUCAUGCUUUCAUGUUGAUAUCUAUCGCUUUUUGGGCUGUUAUUACACUUCACGGUACAACACUUAUGCCUUUUCUCUCUUAUUUUGCAAGGUUUACAUGAAGAGGGAGAAUGCCGACAGCUGGAAUUCUGGCCUGAAAAAGGAGCAAGUUUGACAUACCUAUUCCUCGCAACUCCAAAGCCGUGAAAAUCAACGAGGAUUUUUUUGGGAUUUAUGAAAAAUACUAGGCCGAAGAAGUACCAAAGGGGCGCCAGCAGGAGGCCACAAGCCUGCUAGGCGCGGCCUCCCCUGGCCGCGCCUAGGGGGCUUGUGGGAUCCCACUUGGCCCUCUAGCCCCCUCUUUUUCUACAAGAGCGGAUUCGUUCCAGAAAAAAAAUGAAGAGGAGGCUUUUCGGAGGAUUCGCUGCCACCACGAGGCGGAACUUGAGCAGAACCAAUCUAGAGCUCCAGCAGGACGAUCCUGCCGAGGAAACAUCCCUCCCGGAGGGGGAAAUCGUCGCCAUCGUCAUCACCAACACUCCUCUCAUUGGAGGGGACUCAUCACCAUCAACAACUUCAUCAGCACCAUCUCAUCUCCAAACCCUAGUUCAUCUCCUGUAACCAAUCUCCGUCUCGUGACUCGGAUAGGUACUUGUAAGGUUGCUAGUAGUGUUAAUUACUCUUUGUAGUUGAAGCUAGUUGGAUUACUUGGUGGAAGGUUAUAUGUUCAGAUCUUUGAUGCUACUCAUUACCCCUCUGGUCAUGAAUAUGAUUAUGCUUUGUGAGUAGUUACUUUUGUUCCUGCGGACAUGGGAUAAGUCAUGCUAUAAGUAGUCAUGUGAAUUUGGUAUUCGUUCGAUAUUUUGAUGUGUUGUAUGUUGUUUUUCCUCUAGUGGUGUUAUGUGAACGUCGAAUACAUAACACUUAACCAUUAUUUGGGACUAGAGGAAGGCAUUGGGAAGUAGUAAGUAGAUGAUGGGUUGCUAGAGUGACAGAAGCUUAAACCCUAGUUUAUGCGUUGCUUCGUAAGCGGCUGAUUUGGAUCCACUAGUUUAAUGCUAUGGUUAGACUUUGUCUUAAUUCUUCUUUAGUAGUUGUGGAUGCUUGCGAGAGGGGUUAAUCAUAAGUGGGAUGCUUGUCCAAGUAAGGGCAGUACCCAAGCGCCGGUCCACCGACAUAUCAAACUAUCAAAGUAACGAACGCGAAUCAUAUGAACAUGAUGAAAACUAGCUUGACAGAAUUUCCCAUGUGUCCUCGGGAGCAUUUUACCUCCUAUAAGAGUUUGUCCAGGCUUGUCCCUUGCUACAAAAGGGAUUGGGCCACUUUUCUGCACCGUUGUUACUUUUGUUACUUGCUACUUGCUAUGAAACAUCUCACCACACCACUACUUGUUACCGAUAAUUUCAGUGCUUGCAGAUAUUAUCUUGCUGAAAACCACUUGUCAGAUCCUUCUGCUCCUCGUUGGGUUCGACACCCUUAGUUAUCGAAAGGACUACGAUAGAUCCCCUAUACUUGUGAGUCAUCAAUGAUCAGGUGUGAUAGAUUCUAACGUUCACAUAAAACGAGUGUAAGCCAAUUUACACACGCGGAACACUUAGGUUGACUCGACGAGCCUAGAAUGUACAUACAUGGCCUAUUAUACGGGAGACCAAAAGGUCGAACAUGAGUCGUAUGGUUGAUACAAUCAGCAUGGAGAUGCUCACCAUCGUUGACUAGUCCGUCUCAUGUGAUGAUCGGACACGGGAUAGUCGACGUGGAUCAUGUAACACUUGGAUGACUAGAGGGAUGUCGAACUAAGUGGGAGUUCAUUAGUAAUUUGAUUAGAUGAACUUAAUUAUCAUGAACUUAGUCUAAAAUUGUAUUUACAGAUAUUGUAGAUCCAAUGGCCAUUGCAAAUGUCUCAUUCAACUUCAACGUGUUCCUAGAGAAAACCAAGCUGAAAGAUGAUGGGAGCAACUAUGCGGAUUGGGCUCGUAACUUAAAGCUCAUCCUCACUGCUUCCAAGAAGGCAUAUGUCCUUAAUGCACCGCUAGGUGAUACUCCCGUUCCCAUGGCACACCAGGACAUUAGGAACACCUGGCAGUCACGGAGUGAUGGCUACUCUCUGGUUGAGUGCAGCAUGCUUUACUGUUUAGAACCGGGGCUCCAAAGACAUUUUGAGCAACACACAACAUAUGAGAUGUUCGAGGAGCUGAAACUUGUUUUUCAAGCUCAUGCCCGGGUCGAGAGAUAUGAACUCUCCGACAAGUUCUUUAGCUGUAAGAUGGAGGAGAAUAGUUCUAUCAGUGAGGACAUACUCAGAAUGUCUAGGUUGCACAACCGCUUGACUCAGCUCGGAGUUGAACUUCCGGAUGAUGCGGUCAUUGACAGAAUCCUCCAGUCGCUUUCACCUAGCUAUAAAGGCUUUGUGAUGAAUUACAACAUGCAAGGGAUGGAAAAGACUAUUCCCUAGUUGUAUUCAAUGUUGCAAUCUGCGGAGGUAGAAAUCAAGAAAGAACAUCAAGUGUUGAUGGUGAAUAAGACCACUAGUUUCAAGAAAGGCAAAGGUAAAAAGAACUUCAAGAAAGACGGCAAAGCAGUUGCCGCACCCGGUAAACCAGUUAUCAGGAAGAAGACAAAGAAAGGACCCAAGCCUGAGACUGAGUGCUAUUACUGCAAGGGAACUCGUCACUCGAAGCAGAAUUGCCCUAAGUACUUAGCGGAUAAGAAGGCCGACAACAUCAAAGGUAUAUGUGAUAUACUUGUUAUUGACGUGUACCUUGUGAGUGCUCGUAGUAGCACCUGGGUAUUUGAUACUUGUGUUGUUGUUCACAUUUGCAACUCUAAGCAGGAACUGCGGAACAAGCGUAGGCUGGCUAAGGAUGAUGUGAUGAUGCACAUUUGGAAUGGUUCCAAGGUUGAUGUGAUCGUCGUCGGCACGCUACCUCUACAUCUACCUUCGGGAUUAGUUUUAAACCUUAAUAAUUGUUAUUUAGUACCAGCUUUGAGCAUGAACAUUGUAUCGGGAUCUCGGUUGAUGCAAGAUGGCUACUCAUUUAAAUCUGAGAAUAAUGGUUGUUCUAUUUAUAUGAGUGGUAUGUUUUAUGGUCAUGCCCCGUUGGUAAAUGGUUUAUUCUUGAUGAAUCUUGAUCGUGAUGUUACACAUAUUCAUAGUGUGAGUACCAAAACAUGUAAAGUUGAUAAUGAUAGUCCAACAUACUUGUCGCAUUGCCGCCUCGGUCAUAUCGGUGUUCAGCGCAUGAAUAAACUACAUACAGAUGGACUUCUGGAGUCUCUUGAUUUUGAAUCAUUUGACACGUGCGAACCGUGCCUCAUGGGCAAGAUGACCAAGACUCCGUUCUCCGGAACAAUGGAGCGAGCAAUAACUUAUUGGAAAUAAUAGAUACCGAUGUAUGUUGUCCAAUGAGCGUUGAGGCUCGCGGAGGCUAUCGUUAUGUUCUCACCCUCACUGAUGAUUUAAGUAGAUAUGGGUAUGUCUACUUAAUGAAGCACAAGUCUGAAACCUUUGAAAGGUUCAAGGAAUUUCAGAGUGAGGUGGAGAAUCAACGUGACAAGCAAAUAAAUUUUCUACGAUCUGAUCGCGGAGGAGAAUAUUUGAGUCACGAGUUUGGCACACACCUAAAGAAAUGUGGAAUUGUUUCACAACUCACACGGCCUGGCACACCGCAGCGUAACAGUGUGUCUGAACGUUGUAAUCACACUUUGUUGGAUAUGGUGCGAUCUAUGAUGUCUCUUACCGAUUUACCGCUAUCAUUUUGAGGAUAUGCAUUGGAAACUGCCGCAUUCACUUUAAAUAGAGCACCGUCUAAAUCCAUUGAGACGACCCCAUAUGAAUUAUUGUUUGGCAAGAAACCUAAGUCGUCGUUUCUGAAAGUUUGGGGGUGCGAUGAUUAUGUGAAGAAACUUCAACCACAGAAGCUCGAACCCAAAGCGGAAAAAUGCAUCUUCCUGGGAUACCAUAAGGAAACUAUUGGGUAUGCCUUUUAUCUUAGGCCUGAGGGCAAAAUCUUUGUUGCCAAGAACGGAUCCUUUCUAGAGAAAGCUUUUCUCUUGAAAGAAGUAAGUGGGAGGAAUGUAGAACUUGAUGAGGUAAUUGUACCUCCUCUCGAACCGAAGAGUAGGGCAGCACAAGAAUAUGUUUGUGAGGUGCCUGCACCGGCUAGAGAAGAAGUUAAUGAUGAUGAUCAUGAAACUCCAGAUCAAGUUGCUACAGGACCUCGAAAGUCCACAAGGACACGUUCUGCACCAGAGUGGUACGGCAACCCUGUCAUGGAAAUCAUGUUGUUGGGAAAGAGUGAACCUUCGAACUAUGAAGAAGCGAUGGCGGGCCCAGAUUCCAACAAAAGGCUUGAAGCCAUGAAAUCCGAGAUAGGAUCCAUAUAUGAGAACAAAGUAUGGACUUUGGUGGACUUGCCUGAUGAUUGGCGAGCCAUAGAAAAUAAAUGGAUCUUUAAGAAGAAGACCGACUCGGAUGGUAAUGUGACCAUCUAUAAGGUAUGACUUGUCGCUAAGGGUAAUCGACAAGUUCAAGGGAUUGACUACAAUGAGACCUUCUCACCCGUAGAGAUGCUGAACUCAGUCGAAUCAUGUUAGCAAUUGCCGCAUUUUAUGAUUAUGAAAUCUGGCUAAUGGACGUCAAAACAACAUUCCUUAACGGCUUUCUUAAGGAAUAAUUGUAUAUCAUACAGCCGGAAGGUUUUGUCGAUCCUAGCAAUGCUAACAAGGUAUGCAAGCUCUAGCGCUCCAUCUAUGGGAUGGUGCAAGCAUCUCGGAGUUGGAACAUUCGCUUUGACGAGGUGAUCAAAGCGUUUGGGUUUGUACAGACUUACAGAGAAGCCUGUAUUUACAAGAAAGUGAGUGGGAGCUCUGUAGCAUUUCUCAUAUUAUAUGUGGAUGGCAUAUUGUUGAUGGGAAACGAUAUAGAACUAUUAGAAACCAUAAAGUCUUAUUUGAAUAAGAGUUUUUCAAUGAAGGACCUUGGAGAAGCUGCUUACAUAUUAGGCAUCAAUAUCUAUAGAGAUAGAUCGAGACGCCUCACAGGACUUUCACAAAGCACAUAGCUUGACAAGAUAUUGAAUAAGUUCAAUAUGGAUAUGGCUAAGAAGGGGUUCUUGCCUGUAUUACAAGGUGUGAGGUUGAGUACGACUCAACGCCCGACCACCACAGAAUAUAGAGAAAAGAUGAGUACCGUCCCCUAUGCUUCAGCCAUAGGCUCAAUUAUGUAUGCCAUGAUGUGUACUAGACCUGAUGUGAACCUUGCCAUAAGUUUGGUAGGGAGGUACCAAAGUGAUCUAAGAGUGGAUCACUGGAUAGUGGUCAAGAACAUCCUUAAGUACCUGAAAAGGACUAAAGAUAUGUUUCUCGUUUAUGAAGGUGCCGAAGAGCUCGUCGUAAAGGGUUACGUCGAUGCUAUCUUUGACACAGAUCCGGAUGACUCCAAGUCACAAACCGGAUACGUGUAUAUUUUGAUUAAUGGGGCAGUCAGCUGGUGCAGUUAUGCUUCACCUCUUGCCAUGUUUACUAACAUUUAAACUUGCUGUGUAAACAAACAAAAGUGAACUAAGUGAUUCGAAUGUGGAUUUUUAUUAAUAUGCAACUUGUUGCAUAUUGAGCUUCACUUAAUGUGUUGUACUUGAUUGUUGUGAUUGACAUGCCUUGCAUAUGUAAACCGGACAUGCAUCAUAUUUGAUUGUGCAUCAUGCCAUGUAAAUGUUGUGGUGUUUUUUUUUAUUUUUUGUUUCAUCAUCAUUUCUUCUCGGUAGUGUUCCAAAACCGAUUCGGAGUGUGAGGAUUUGUUCAACUACGUCCCGUUCCUCUACUUCUCAGAUUCGUUCUUCUUCCAAGCGUGAUCUCAGGCAAGAUGACCAUUUCCAUAUAUACCACUACCAUAUUUGCCAUGCUAGUUGUAUCGUUUUGAUCGCUAUGUCUUGCUUCCUACUACGUGUUUGUCAAGACUCCCAACAUUCUUUGAUUAUCCUCUAUUUUUUUUGAAACGGGAAAAAUAUCUUUUGCCUUAUAUUGAUAUAACAGAAGCAAACAGGGGAAUGGAAAGAGUCAUAAAAAAGAGAAGAGGAAGGGAGCGAACACCGCCCCCGACAAAGGGGGAAAGAGGAUGAGCCUACAAGUUCCGCCAGAUUUUUAGCAUCGGCGAGGAUCUAGUCCUUCCCCUCUUCCCUAAUCUUAUGCAUGACAACCGAUGGCAGGGAUGGCUUAUUGUUGAAAACUCAUUCGUUCCCCUCUUUCCAGAUCUCCCAAGUGAUGAGCGUGAUAGCUGAGUGUAAGCCUUUUGGGGAGGAGGUGGUGGACUUCGAAACAGCCAGCCAAUAGUCCAUGGCUUUAGGCCUACCCUCCCCAAGGCUGCUGAUGAGGUCUGGACAAGAGAACCAAGAGGUCGCGACCGUCCAGAUAUGUCUGGAGAAGUGGCACUCGAAAAUAAUGUGUCGUGCCGUCUCAAGGGAGGUACGACAGAGCUGGCAAGUAGGUUGGUGCGGCCAUCCGCGUUUCGCCAAGCGAUCAACAGUCCAUAAGCGGUUCUCAAUGGCGAGCUAGGCGAAGAAACGACAAUUUGGAGGGGCCAGGUCUUCCACACGAUGUUCCCAAACUGGCUGGCCAAAGAGGCAAGGAACUGGACCUUGUAGGCAGAGCUGGCCGAGUAGCGCCCAUUAGAGGUCAAGGACUGUUGGAAAUAAUCCGUAGACGCAAUAAUAAAGUGGUUAUUAGUAUAUUCCCUGGUUCAUGAUAAUUAUCUAUUAUUCAUGCUAUAAUUAUAUUAACCGGAAACGGUGAUACAUUUUUGAAUAUAUAGAUCACAAUGUGUCCCUAGUGAGCCUCUAGUUGGCUAGCUCGUUGAUCAAUAGAUGAUCAUGGUUUCCUGAUCAUGGACAUUGGAUGUCAUUGAUAAUGGGAUCACAUCAUUGGGGAAUGAUGUAAUGGACAAGACCCAAUCCUAAGCAUAACACUAGAUCGUGUUGUUUGUUUGCUAAAGCUUUUCUAAUGUCAAGUAUAAUUUCCUUAGACCAUGAGAUUGUGCAACUCCCGGAUACCGUAGGAGUGCUUUGGGUGUAUCAAACGUCACAACGCAACUGGAUGAUUAUAAAGGUGCACUACAGGUAUCUCCGAAAGUGUCUGUUGGGUUGUACGAAUUGAGACUGGGAUUUGUCACUCCGUGUGACGGAGAGCUAUCUCUGGGCCCACUCGGUAAUCCAUCAUCAUACUGAGCUCAAUGUGACUAAGGAGUUAGAAAUGGGAUGAUGUGUUACCGAACGAGUAAAGAGACUUGCCGGUAAUGAGAUUGAACAAGGUAUAGGGAUACCUAUGAUCGAAUCUCGGGCAAGUAUCAUACCGGUAGACAAAGGGAAUUGCAUACAGGAUUGAUUGAAUCCCCGACAUCGUGGUUCCUCCAAUGAGAUCAUCGUGGAACAUGUGGGAACCAACAUGGAUAUCUAGACCCCGCUGUUGGUUAUUGACCGGAGAGGUGUCUCGGUCAUGUCUGCAUGCUUCCAGAACCCGUAGGGUCUACACACUAAAGGUUCGAUGACGCUAGGGUUAUAUGGGAAUAGUGUACAUGGUUACGGAAGGUUGUUCGGAGUCCCGUAUGAGAUCCCGGACGUUACGAGGAGUUCCGGAAUGGUCCGGAGGUAAAGAUUCAUAUAUAGGAAGUGAGGAUUUGAACACCGGAAGUGUUUCGGGCAUCACCGGUAAUGUACCGGGACAACCGGAAUGGUUCCGGGCGUCCACCGGGAAGGGCCACCAGCCCCAAAGUGCUACAUGGACCAAAAUUGGAUGGAAACCAGCCCCUAGGUGGGCUGGUGCGCCACCACUAAGGGCCCAAGGCGCACAAGGGGUGGAGAGGGGCAAAACCCUAGGCGUGGAGGGGCACCUUUGGGCCCAAGGCCAACCCUCGAGCGCCUCCACCCUUGGCCGCCGCCCUCCUUGCCCAUCUAGGGCUUCCGCAACCCUUAGGGUGGGAAACCCUAAGGGUGGGCACCCUCCUCCCUCUCCUGCUAUAUAUAGUGAAAGGUUUGGGGCUGUUUUGAGACACAAUCUCUCUCUCUCUCUCUCNNNCUCUCUCUCUCUCUCUCGGGGUAGCCCUACUCCUCCUCGUCCUCGUCCUCCGUAGUGCUUGGCGAAGCCUUGUCGUAGUAGCACACAGCUCCACCGUCACCAUGUCGUCGUGCUGCCAGAGCUCUCCCUCAACCUCUUUGUUGGAUUUCGGGCUCCGCAAAACCAUAAAGAUUCGAACUCAGGGGCAUGUACGAAGAUCUCUCGAGGCUCACCUCACCUAACUCGCUACUCGCUGGGGAUGGUAGAGAACUCACUCGAUGGUGAGCAAGACACAGGGCACGGUAGUUUACCUAGGUUCAGCCACUGAGAAGUGUAAUACCCUACUCCUGCUUUGGUGGAUUGCCUCUCGUGAAGGUUGGUGGAUGAACUAGUAAAGUGUUCCAGGGCCUUCGGAGGCUGGGUGGCCUUUGUGUGCUGCAUGUGGGCGAAUGAAUGAAUCUCCCCCCUAUGAAUUAAACUUCUCUCCAUAUAUAUAGUGGCGGCCCCGGUCCUCUCCCCUUAUCAUUUCGGAGGGAAGGGAUCCCACAACAACCAAUUUUGAAGGGGAACAGGGGAACAAGCUCCCCUGCCCAAAGGUAGUCUUCGCCUGCAAAGUGGCUGUCAGUGCUAUAGGGACGGUUCCAGGGAUGACGUCUCCCUGCACGCGGGCGGCGAUGGCCUUGUUGCACCAGAAAGGAAACCUUUGGAAGAUGCCUUGGGAACCCCGGUACGUCCUUGCCACCUUUGCACUAAAUGGGAAACUGCUCUGUCCUGCUGUCUGCUGCUCGCAUGUCCUUCCUCCGCGUCAUCUUUGACUCCUAAGGCCGGGUCUCGCCUCGAAAUAUCCGCCGCUCUGGAGGGGGUCCUGAUGAGGCCCCCUGCGGAUCGAUGUUGUUCCUCCUUGCGAGGCUUGGCCCCUCGCGAGGACCGUGCGUUGAGUGGUACCGCGCCCGAUCAUGCUUGCUUGAUGAAGUGGGCCAGCCCUGGGCCACAGGCAGAUAGGUCUGGGUACCCCCAUUCCCAGAAGCCGCCAGUAUCCCCCGGGCACAUGACACGCUUAGGUUGGCUUCUGGGCGAAUCCUUGGGGGGCGGCCUGAGGCGCCGCGGGCCCUAAAUGCCUGUGGACCAGGCCGGUGCGUGUCACACGGCUGAUGUCGGGUCUCCCUUUCCUUCUGUCUUCACCUGGGUUAUAAGGAAUCUGACUCGUUGCGUUGGUCCAUUAUUGCUUUCCCUUCUCCCGCACUCGCUCUUCCUCCUCGGUCUCCAACUCCAACCAGCAUCUCCCACAUCCAACACCGCGUCGUUCCCUUGUCGGUUCAGCGAUGGCGCCCGCAGGCAAACAGAAGCCAGGGACGCAAGGUCCUGCCCCGGCUUCUCCACUCAUGGAGUGUGCCCUCUCCAAGGACGUGGAUCUUACCCCCGUGCUCCCAUGGACUGCGGCCAAGUCGAACAAGCACGGGAGGACCCUGAUCAGGCCCGACGCCACAGCAAAGCGGGCCUCGUCGAAGGCCGUAUACCCCUUCUUCCUACAUACGUCUUCGUCGGGUUGGUGCCGCCUUUCUCCUCAUUCUUCAUCGCCAUCCUGAACCACUAUGGGAUCCAGGCCCUUCACCUCCAGCCCAAAUCCAUCUUUCCCCUGUCCGUCUUUGCUUUCUACUGCAAGGCAUUCGUAGGCGUGUGACCUUCGGUAGCCCUCUUCCGCCAUUUCUUUAGCCUGCGCCUCCACGACAACACCCAUUUGUCGGCAUGUGUUUCCUUCAUAGCGGCCCAGGGCGACAAUUUGCUCCUGAAGGCCGGGAAGAAGGUGGAAACUUUAGGCAUCGUUGGGUUUUCAUGAGACUCAAGGACGCCAACCUUUGGCUGGAGGUGCCGAAGGGGCUACCGGAGAAGACUCCUGCGUGGAGCUUAGCGAAGCUCUCCGACCCUCGGGAUAUGCCCAUCCUCGAGCGCUUCUCCCGCGACAUCAGCGCCAAGAGGCUGACCGGUGGGAUGAUAGUGAAGGAAUUCUUGGCGCAGCACUGCUACGGCAACAAAAGUUCUUCCCCGGUAGUGGUGCCAGAGAUCCUUCUGUCGUCUCUUGGCCUUGCGUUGGUUCUUCCCUUGAAGAGGAAAGGGUGAUGCAGCAUAGGAGCAGUAAGUAUUUCCCUCAGUUUGAGAACCAAGGUAUCAAUCGAGAAGGAGGGUCUCGUCAAGUCCAGAGUACCUGCGCAAACACAAACAAGCUUGCACCCAACGCUUCAAAGCGGUUGUUAAUCCCUUCAAGAUUGUUUGCAAAGUGAGAUCUGAAGGCGGAAAGUGCAACGAAGUAAAAAGUGUAAGGUUGAAAAUAUGGUGUGGAGUAGACCCGGGGGCCAUAGUGUUCACUAGAGGCUUCUCUCAAAAUAGCAAAUAUCACGGUGGGUGAACAAAUUACUGUCGAGCAAUUGAUAGAACCGCGCAAAGUCAUGACGAUAUCUAAGGCAAUGAUCAAACAUAUAGGCAUCACGUCCGAGACAAGUAGACCGAUACUUUCUGUAUCUACUACUAUUACUCCACACAUUGACCGCUAUCCAGCAUGAAUAUAGUGUAUUGAGUUCAUGACGAACAAAGUAACGCCUUAAGCAAGAUGACAUGAUGUAGAGGGAUAAUCUCAAACCAAUGAUGAAAAUCCCAUCUUUUUACCCUUGAUGGCAACAACACGAUGCGUGCCUCGCUACCCCUUCUGUCACUCGGUGAGGUCACCGCACGGUAUGAACCCAAAACCAACCACUUCUCCCAUUGCAAGAAUCAUAGAUCUAGUUGGCCAGACAAAACCCACAACUCGAAGAGAAUUACAAGGAUAUGAAAUCAUGCAUAAGAGAGAUCAGAAGAAACUCNNNNNNNNNNNNNNNNNNNNNNNNNNNNNNNNNNNNNNNNNNNNNNNNNNNNNNNNNNNNNNNNNNNNNNNNNNNNNNNNNNNNNNNNNNNNNNNNNNNNNNNNNNNNNNNNNNNNNNNNNNNNNNNNNNNNNNNNNNNNNNNNNNNNNNNNNNNNNNNNNNNNNNNNNNNNNNNNNNNNNNNNNNNNNNNNNNNNNNNNNNNNNNNNNNNNNNNNNNNNNNNNNNNNNNNNNNNNNNNNNNNNNNNNNNNNNNNNNNNNNNNNNNNNNNNNNNNNNNNNNNNNNNNNNNNNNNNNNNNNNNNNNNNNNNNNNNNNNNNNNNNNNNGAUAGAUCUCCAUGAGGAUCAUGGACAACUUUGUAUUGAAGAUCCAAGAGAGAGAAGAAGCCAUCUAGUUACUAGCAAUGGACCCAUAGGUCUAUGGUGAACUACUCACACAUCAUCGGAGAGGUCAUGGUGUUGAUGAAGAAGCCCUCCGUGUCCGAAUCCCCCCUCCGGCAGGGCACCAGAAUGUGCCCUAGAUGGGAUCUUGCAGAAACAGAAGCUUGCGAUGGCGGAAAAGUGAUUUCGAUGAUCUCAUGAUUUUUUGUUAUUUUUAGGGAAUAUAUAGGCUAAACCCCUAGGGCAGAGGGCGCCCAGGGGGCCCACAAGCCUGUGGGUCGCGGCCUCCCCCUUGACGCGGGGUGGGGGUUUGUGGGGCCCCUGAGGCUCCCCUGCCUUUGCUCCCAAGCUUCCUGAUCUUCUUUCGUAAUGGGAAAAAUCUUUUCAGGGAUCUUCUUCUGUUUGGACUCCGUUUCAAAAUCUCCUCUGAAAGGGGUCAAAAACAUGGAAAAAACAGGAACUGACACUUAGCACUGAGUUAAUAAGUUAGUCCCAAAAAAUAUAUAAAAGGCAUGCAAAACAUACAAAGUUUGACAAGAUAAUAGCAUGAAACCAUUAAAAAUUAUAGAUACGUUGGAGACGUACCAAGCAUCCCCAAGCUUAACUCCUUCUCGUCCUCGAGUAGGGAAGUGAUAAAGAAUGAAUUGUUGAUGUGGAAUGCUACCUAGCAUAGUUGUCCUUUGCAACUUCUUUCACGUGAGAUGAAUGUUCAGAUCCGUAAGAUUCAAAACAAUAGUUUUCUAUUGACAUGAAAACAAUAAUACUUCAAGAAAACUAGCAAGGUAAUCAUGAACUUUCAAAAUAACAAGGCCAAGGAAAGUUAUCCCUACAAAAUCAUAUAGUCUGGCUAUGCUCCAUAAUCCUCACAGAACUAAUGUAAAUCAUGCACAACCCCGGUAUUGGCCAAGUAUUUGUUUUCGCACUCUUGCUUUCUCAAACUUUUUAUAACUAUCACGCAAUACAUGAGCGUGAGCCAUGGAUAUAACACUAUUGGUGGAAUAGAGUGCGGUGGUGGUCGUGAGACAAAAAGGAGGAGAUAGUCACAUUGACUCGGCGUAUUAAAAGGCUAUGGAGAUGCCCAUUAAUAGAUAUCAAUGCGAAUGAGUAGGGAUUGCCAGACAAGAGAUGCACUAGAGCUAUAAGUAUGUGAAAGGUCAUAAGGAAAACUAGUGGGUGUGCAUUCAACUUGCUUGCACACGAAGACCUAGGGCAAUUGAGGAGGCCCAUCAUUGGAAUAUACAAGCCAAGUUAUAUAAUGAAGAUUCCCACUAGCAUAUGGUCGUGACAAAGCAAGAAAAUUUCAAUCACAAAGAACAUGGUGCUAUUAUGUAGCACAAGUGUGGAAAAAGAUAGUAGCAUUGUCCCUUCUCUCUUUCUCUCUCUCUUUUUUUAUUUGGGCUCUUAGGCCUCUUUUUUUUUCUUUUCUUUUCUCCCCUUUUUUGUUUUUGGGCUCUUUGGCCUCUUUUUAUUUAUUUAUUUCCUCACAUGGGACAAUGCUCUAAUAAUGAUGAUCAUCACACUUUUAUUUACUCACAGCUUCAAAGCUCAAAAUGAUGAUGACUCUAUAGGAAAUGCCUCCGAUAGUGUACCGGGAUGUGCAACAAUCUAGCAUGGCGUAUGACGUUGAGAACAUCUCGCUAGCUAUCUUAUGAUCAUGCAAUGGCAAUAUGAGAGUGACGGCACAAGUCAUGAGACGGAACGGUGGGAGUUGCAUGGCAAUAUAUCUCGGAAUGGCUAUGAAAAUGCCAUAGUAGGUAGGUAUGGUGGCUGUUUUGAGGAAGGCAUAUGGUGGGUUUGUGUAUCGGCGAGAAUUGCGCGGCACUAGAGAGGCUAGCAACGGUGGAAGGUGAAAGUGCAUCUAUACUAAGGAGUCACAUUAGUCAUGAAGAACUCACAUACUUUUUGCGAAAGUUUUUAUUAGUAGUCGAAACAAAGUGCUAAACGCGUACUCCUAGGGGAAGGGUUGGUAGGUGUAAACCAUCGCGCGAUCCCGACCUCAACACAAAGGAUGACAAUCAAUAGAUCAAUUAUGCUCCGACUUUCUAACAUAGCGGUUCACCAUACGUGCAUGCUACGGGACUCACUAACUUCAGCACGAGUAUUUCUAUUUUCACAACACCCUACUAACAUAGCUCUCAAUAUUACCAAAUCCACGUCUCAAAACUAAUUGAGAGGAAUCAAAACUUCUCUUUCUAUUCAAUGCACAUGAAGAUGGAGGUUUUUUGCAUCCUCUUUGGGUACCUAUCACAUUCGGGACUACUUUAAUAGCAUAAGCCAACUACCAAAUCACGCACCGCCGUGCUCUAAAAGAUAUAAGUGAAGCAGUAGAGCAAAAGUAUCUAGCUCAAAAGAUAUAAGUGAAGCACUAUGAGCAUUCUAGCAAAAUCACGAUGAGUGCAUGUCUCUCUCUCUCUCUCAAAAAGGUCUGGAGCAAGGAUAUUUGUGACACAACAAAAAUAAAAGAAUCCUACGAUACAAGAAGCUCCAAGCAAAACACAUAUCAUGUGGUGAAUAAAAAUAUAGCUCCAAGUAAAGUUACCGAUGGAUUGAGGACGAAAGAGGGGAUGCCUUCCCGGGGCAUCCCCAAGCUUAGGCUUUUUUGUGUCCUUGAAUUUUGGCAUGGGAUGCCUUGGGCAUCCCCAAGACUUGAGCUAUUUCCACUCCUUAUCUCAUCGUCCAUGAGAACAUCACCCAAAACUUGAAAACUUCACAACACAAAACUUAAACAGAAACUCGUGAUAACAUUAGUACAAGAAAACAAACUACCACUUCUUUUGGUACUGUAGAAAACUUGAAUUCUAUCUAUAUUGGUGUUGGGCUAAUGUAUUCUCACUUUUCCAUGCAUAGUACCCACGAUACUAACCAUAGUUUCAUCAAAACAAGCAACCAACUCAACAAAAACAGAAUCUGUCAAAAACAAACCAGUCUGUAGCAAUCUGUAUACUUCGUAUACUUCUGGUACCUCAAAAAAUCUAAAACAUUACAGAGGCCUGGGAAAAAAGCAUAUCAGACACUAUAAAAAAGAAUAAACUCAAAAGCUCUUUGUGAAUAAAAAUGAAAAAUCAUCUCGUGAGCGUAAAGUUUCUGUCUUUUUCCAGCACGAUCAAACAACCAUUACCAAGACUAGUCAUAAAGGUUUUGCUUGGCUCAAACACAAAAGGAAACACAAAAAACACAAUCACAACAGAAUUGUGAUGGUGUGGACGCAACGAAACAGAAAGAAAAAAUAUAAAUUAGUUGGGUUGCCUCCCAACAAGCGCUAUUGUUUAACGCCCUUAGCUAGCCAUAAGGAUUUUAAUGAUACUCACAUAAAAGAUAGUAAUCGGACACGAAGAGAGCAUCAUGAAACAUGUGAAAAUCACAUCUAAGUCUAACGUACUUCCUAUGCAUAGGCAUUUUAUAGGAAAACAGAUUGUGAAGACAACCAAUAGUUACCAUAUGCAAGGAAGAAGAAAGAGAUAAUAGCAAUCUCCACAUAACGAGAGGUAAUUUGGUAACAUGAAAGUUUCUACCACAAUAUUUUCCUCUCUCAUAGCAAUUACAUGUGGGAUCAUAAUCAAAAUCAACAAAAUAGCUAUCAGAGAGGAUAUUCUUUUCAUGAUCCACAUGCAUGCAAAGUUGACGCUCUUCAAAAAUAGUAGGAUUAUCAUCAACUAAAGUCAUGACUUCUCCAAACCCACUUUCAAUAAUAUUGCAAAUAUCAUUGCAACAAGUAGUGGACAUAGAAAAACUAGCAUCCCCAAACUUAGGGUUUUGCAUAUUUUUAGCAUGAUUGUCAUUAAUAGAAUUUAUAAUGAAAUCAUUGCAAUCAUGCUUUUCAUUCAAGGAGCCCUCGUGAAUCAUUUCAUAAAUUUCUUCAUCACGAUUUUUAGAUUCACGCAUCUCAAGCAAAACUCCAUUGAGAAAGUCAAGUGCACUCAACUCACUAGCAAUUGGUUCCACAUAAGUGGAUCUAUUAAAGAGAUUAGCAAGUGGGUGAGGAUCCAUAUCACUAGAUUUUCAGCAAGCGAAGAUACAAGCAUAUUGAAGGCAAAUAGCACACAAGCAAAGGAAAGGCAAUCGAAAAAAGGCAAAUAUUUUUGUAAAUUUUUGUUUUUCAGAAGUGGGGGAGAGGAAAACGAGAGGCAAAAAACGUAAAUGCAAGAGAUGAGUUUGCGACACUUACUUGGAUGAGUUCUUGACUUGAUCUUCCUCCUCGGCAAAGGCGCCCGAAAUUCUUCUGCUACGGGAACAAAAGUUCUUCCCCGGUAGUGGUGCCGGAGAUCCUUCUGUCGUCUCUUGGGCUUGUGUUGGUUCUUCGCUUGAAGAGGAAAGGGUGAUGCAGCACAGGAGCAGUAAGUAUUUCCCUUAGUUUGAGAACCAAGGUAUCGAUCCAUAAGGAGGGUCUCGUCAAGUCAAUGUACCUGCGCAAACACAAACAAGCUUGCACACACCGCUUCAAAGGGGUUGCCAAUCCCUUCAAGAUUGUUUGCAAAGUGAGAUCUGAAUGCGGAAAGUGCAACGAAGUAAAAAGUGUAAGGCUGCAAAUAUGGUGUGGAGUAGACCCGGGGGCCGUAGUGUUCACUAGAGGCUUCUCUCAAAAUAGCAAAUAUCACGGUGGGUGAACAAAUUACUGUUGAACAAUUGAUAGAACCGAGCAAAGUCAUGACGAUAUCUAAGGCAAUGAUCAUACAUAUAGGCAUCACGUCCGAGACAAGUAGACCGAUACUUUCUGCAUCUACUACUAUUACUCCACACAUCGACUGCUAUCCAGCAUGCAUCUAGUGUAUUGAGUUCAUGACGAACAGAGUAAUGCCUUAAGCAAGAUGACAUGAUGUAGAGGGAUAAUCUCAAACCAAUGAUGAAAACCCCAUCUUUUUACCCUUAAUGGCAACAACAUGAUGCAUGCCUCGCUACCCCUUCUGUCACUGGGUGAAGUCACCGCACGGUAUGAACCCAAAACCAAGCACUUCUCCCAUUGCAAGAAUCAUAGAUCUAGUUGGCCAGACAAGACCCACAACUCGAAGAGAAUUACAAGGAUAUGAAAUCAUGCAUAAGAGAGAUCAGAAGAAACUCAAAUAAGAUUCAUAGAUAAUCUGAUCAUAAAUCCACAAUUCAUCGGAUCUCGACAAACACACCGCAAAACAAGAUUACAUCAGAUAGAUCUCCAUGAGGAUCAUGGAGAACUUUGUAUUGAAGAUCCAAGAGAGAGAAGAAGCCAUCUAGUUACUAGCUAUGGACCCGUAGGUCUAUGGUGAACUACUCACGCAUCAUCGAAGAGGUCAUGGUGCUGAUGAAGAAGCCCUCCGUGUCCAAAUCACCCCUCCGGUAGGGCACCAGAGCGGGCCACAGAUGGGAUCUUGCGGAAACAGAAGCUUGCGGCGGCGGAAAAGUGAUUUCGAUGAUCUCCUGAUUUUUUUGGGAUUUUUAGGGAAUAUAUAGGCGCAACCCCUAGGGCAGAGGGCGCCCAGGGGGCCCACAAGCCUAUGGGCCGCGGCCUCCCCCAGCCGCGGGGGCUUGUGGGGCCCUGAGGCUCCCCUGCCUUGGCUCCCAAGCUUCCCGAUCUUCUUCCGGUACGGAAAAAAUAUUUUCGGGGAUUUUCUUCUGUUUGGACUCCGUUUCAAAAUCUCCUCUGAAAGGGGUCAAAAACAUGGAAAAAACAUGAACUGGCACUUGGCACUGAGUUAAUAAGUUAGUCCCAAAAAAUAUAUAAAAGGCAUGCAAAACAUCCAAAGUUUGACAAGAUAAUAGCAUGAAACCAUCAAAAAUUAUAGAUACGUUGGAGACGUAUCAAGCACCUGGCGCCCUUCAGGCCCAUUCCAGGCCCCUCUGGGACUACCAGCUUGGUGACGACAAGCUCAGGCUCCAGUCCAAGGACCUUCCUACUGAGGAGCUGAACAGGGUCGUGACGACCCUGCUGGGUGGUGACCCUGGUGACCUGCCCGAGGCUCUCGGUCGCCCUACCAUCUCGUCGAGCGGGCCGACGUGAUCGUCGCGCUGUCUUUCUUCGAUGAGCGGCGGCUCUUCCCGGCCGAGGGCUCUGGUCAGGUAGAGGUGUCAUCGGACGACACCUUCGGUGUGCAGGACUCGGAGAAGACCGUUGACGACUGCCCGGUGAGCGCGCCUCUCCCCUCACGGGCCGUCCUUCUGUGUGAGCUUGAAGACGACGAUGUCACCAGCGAAGUCUCCACGGUGAUCCCCUCGCGCCAGACCAGGAUCUCCACGGGAUCCGCGUCGGCCCCACACGCCACGCGGUCCGUUUCCAUGCUCACCCCUCGAGAGCACGGGGCUGAGUUGCCCUUGGUGAAUCCUUCCUCCGUCGGCGGGAAGUGUGAGGCUCCAGGCUCGCCCCCCUCCGUGGGGGGGCCUGUUGCCCCUGCCAUUGGCGGGGCGGAGAGGAAGAGGAGAUGGGUCGACGUCGAAGAGUAUGUGACUCGUCUUGGCACGCCCCGCACGUCCAUCAUCCGCGCAUGGCUUAUUCACUUUCUGCCUGAUGUCUAGGGGCGUUGCCUCGCUGGGGGCGAAGAAGAAGAAGGCGGGCAUCAAGCCGAAGGCGACUCCUGACGCACCGCCGACCAUUCCCAACGCGUCGCCGCCUAGCGAUGAAGAAGGGGAGGCUCGCGGGGCGACCUCCAGGCCUUGGUCGCCGAGACCCCCAAGCCCCCGAAGCAUCCUGAGGAGGUCGUGGCGGCACCGUUGCCCGAGGGGCAGGCUCUCGAUGGCCCUGAGUCUUCUAAUGCGCCAAUGCUCGCAAUCUCCGGGCAACCUUCGGAGCCCCCUGUCCCUCGUGUCGCUGCCUCCCCGGCGAUACCGCCCGCGACAGCACUAGAGGCUCCCCAGGGAGAAAUCUAGAGGACUUCGGUAUACGUCCAGGGCAUCCUGAACGAGGCCUUCGGUGCCCUUGGCAAGGUCGCGGUCGUGAUGGCGAAAGGCGAGAAGGAGGCCAAGGCCAAUCGCGCUGCGCGCAAGGAGGCGCUGAAGGAAGCCGAAUCCGCUCGCGCCGUGCGUGAGGAGGCGAUGAAGGAAGCCGAAUCCGCUCGCGCCACGCGCGAGGAGGCGAUAGAAGGAGCCGCGACGGCUUCCAAACACUACGAAGAUGUGGAGGCUCGCCUGUAGGCCUUCGAAGAAGAACAAGCCAAGCUAGCCGAGCAGCUUCGCCUACGGGAGGAAGAACUCGAUGCCCGCAAGACCAAGCUCGCUGUCCGAGAAGAAGAGCUAUCUAAGGAGGAAACUCGGCUGGGCGCGAAGCAGGCACGCUUGGCUGAGCAGGAGAAGCAGAUCGCCUCAAAGAAGACCCUUCUCGAUGCCAAGGGGGAAGCCCUCGCCGCGGUCGAGAAGAAGAAGGCCGUGGAGAUGGUCGGCUUACCUGACGUUGAGCUGAGGCUUCGCAGGGCGCUCCACACCCUCAGCCGGGAUGGGUUCGACGAGCCUCUGGCCACCCCAGAGGGCAGCUUCGCUAUGGCGUUGGAGGACGCCGUCAUCCAGGUGGACAAGAUCUUGGACAGUGAGUGUCGCGACCUCUUUUCCGAGGUCGCGACACGCGUCUUCAAUCACCUUCAUCUUCGUGAGCUGGGGAUUCACUUCAACUCCGUGAUCCUGCCGGUCCCUACUGACGCCAGCGAUAGCGCGGAGGCGGUGAAAGGCCCCGUGGAGGCGUUGGUGAAGAGGUUCGCCCGUGUCACUGUUCCCCCAUCUCCGGAUGCCGCUGAAGCGGACGACGGGGAAGACAACGCCACUAACGCCAACGACAAGCCCCAUGAAGAUGGAGCGACCGGCAGCUGCGGUUCCUCCUGAUUUCUUCCCCCUGUUUUUUCCCUGCAAUGCACACCGUGCCUCGUGGAGGCAUCAAACUCAUUUGCGUUUCUAAAACUUGUUAAGGCUUGUAAUAACUGGCUUACUGCUUGAAUGUUUUCUUCGCCUCGUUUCUUUAAUGUUUUCUCUGAUACUUUGCGUCGUCACGGCCCGGCCCGCGCAUACCUCACCCACCAUUGAACCGACCGGAUUCCAGGACGACCCAAGAAGUGAGGGGCUACGGGUCUAGUUAGGCUCCUGAGUCGGUAUGCUCUGGAGUCCCCCUUGACGUGCGAGCAGCCCCCAUAAGGGGAACGCGGCGAGGAUUUUGAAACUUCAGAACACCUUGAGCACUUUGUGUCGGCAGGGCCCACCCCGCGCGUACCUCCGCCGCCAUUGGACCAACCGGAUACUAGGACGACCCAAUGGGGAAGGGGCUACGAGCACAGUUAGGCCCUUGAGUCGCGAUGCUCAGGAGUCCACCUUGACGUACGAGCGAAUCCAAUAUCCCUCCUAAGAAACUGACAAUUUUAGACUCCCGAACUCCUUCAGCACUCUGCGUUGGUACGGCCCGCCUCGCGCGUACCUCUGCCGCCAUUGGACCAAUUGGAUACUAGGACAACCCAAGGGGGAAGGGGCUACGAGCACGGUUAGGCCCCUGAGUCAUGAUGCUCUGGAGUCCCCCUUGACGCACGAGCGACUCCAAUGUCCCUCCUAAGAAACUGAAAAUUUGAGACUCCCGAACUCCUUCGACACUCUGCAUCGGCAGGGUCCUCCCCGCGCGCACCUUCGCCGCUGUUGGACCGCGUGGGCGGCCCAAGAGGGAAGGGGCUACGGGCGCAGUUCAGGCACCCGAGUCGCGAUGCUCAGGAGUCCCCCUUGACGUAUGAGUGACUCCAGCGUUCUCCCUAAGAGAUUUUAAGUGGCUUGUUGAGCGCAUUAGGCUCUGCGUAGGCAGGGCCUGCACCGCGCGUACCUCCACCGCCGUUGAACCGACCGGAUUCCAGGACAGCCCAAGAGGGAAGGGUCUACGGGCGCAGUUAGGCCCCUGAGUCUAGAUGCUCCGGGGUCCCCCUUGACGUACGAGCGGCUCCGUACCUCCAGUUGUGUGUCCCCCGCACUGGCUGUGGGCGUAGUCGUAGGUGGACUGGGUUGACUUCCUGGCCAGCUGUGGGCAUAGUCAUUGGUGGACUGUGUUGAUUUCCUUGCCAGCUGUGGGCAUAGUCAUUGGUGGACUGUGUUGAUUUCCUUGCCAGCUACGGGCAUAGUCAUUGAUGAGCUGUGUUGAUUUCCUUGCCAGCUGCGGGCAUAGUCAUUGACGGACUGAGUUGAUUGCCUCCAUCUUCUUCCCGGCGAGGAGCGUAGGCCUACCACUAGGCAUGGGACGGACCCCUCCUUGUCCUAGGGGGCCCCGGGCGUAUACAGCCGCAACUCGUUAUUACGUGAGUGUGUCACGGGAAAGGGGGUGUAUCUGGGAGGUCGCAAGGACACUUUGGCUUCGUGAGUGUCCCUACCCCCGAGGCAUAGGCGCCUGAUUCCUUUUGAGUCUUCACCCAACACAGAGCAUAGGUCAUCCACUUGGCAUGGGAGGGACCCCUCCGCAUCCUCGAGGGGCCCCGGGCAUAUACAACCGCAGCUCGUUAUUAUGUGAGAGUGUCACGGGGGGGUGUAUCUAGGAGGUCGCGAGGAUGCUUUGGCCUUGCGAGUGUCCCUACCCCCGAGGCAUAGACGCCUGAUUCCUUUUGGGUCAUUGGUAAACCCUACUGACUUCUUCUUCUUCGGGAGUGAGGCAGGGUGUCUACUGCCUUAGGAGGCCUACAAGGGUAAGAUUCGACUGGAGCCCCCAAGUAGGGGGGACCACCCAAAGAUGCAAUCAAGGUAGAACGUUAGGGUUCGAAGUGGGUAUGACAAAAACAACUGAAGGAUGCUUAAAUGAAAGUGGCGGCUCGGGAGUGCCCUGAACUCCUGGAGGCCACAUGGCCCUGUGGGCGCCCUCGGACAGAGUGAGCCAAAAAGUUACCUCGUAGCAGCCAACAAAAAGUCACCUGGCGGCCAUGCCACUAUAGUGUCGAGGGCGUUAUCGUCGCCCGAUCUCCGGAUUCCAUGAUCGUGAACCUCACGGGUUCGCCGUCCCGAGGCUCGGGAACUUCGCUUGGACCGAGCAUAUCCUCCUCUUCGUCACGCGCCCGAACACGCAAGGCAUGAGCAUGGCUCGCUAGAGCCAUCGGUAGGUAGCAGUCGCGUUCCCGAGUCCGAAGGGCAAGAGGGUGCGAGCGCCCGGGCACACCCAUCGGUGGUCAGUUCACGUGGGCCAGAAGGGGCCUUGAUCUGUGGCUCUUUCUAUUGCGAGCACGUUGAAGCAGAUGCGGGGUGAUCGACCGUGCCGCCGACGACGACUGUGAUUGGUGAUGCAGGGCAGUCCCCGCCUCGCACGGCCUGGGCCUCUCAAAGUUCUUGGGUUGCUAUGAUGACAGACUCACGGGAGCUGGGCGGACGUGCGCCGGACUGCACCCUCGGGUUAUGCUCGAGCGCCACCCUCGCCUCACUGGUCUGGCCGGGAACCUCCCCGGUGGGAGCCCCCAGGCCUGACCCAAGGGGGCCGCCGAGCGCGCCUUCCUAUGCGAUGUAAAGCAUGACCCCGUCCCCGGGCACGGAGUCCAAAGUCCCGGGGUGCUCUAUGGGGAGGAGCUUCUUCUUCUGCUUGCGUGGGUCCUCAUGAGGUGGCUUGUCUUCUUUGUUUUCCGAGCGUUCCAUCGUCGCAGCGUGGUAGGCGCGCUCGAGUGUAUAGACGACAUCCUUCUCGUCGCAGGCGAUGGUGAUGCGCUGCCGCUCCCUGGAAUCUUGAGGACGUUGUAGCCAUGGUGGGUCACUGCCAUGAACUUGGCGAGAGCCGGGUACCCAAGGAUCGCGUUGCAUGGCUGGUGGAUGUGCGCGAUGUUGAAGAUGCUGAUCUCGAUGUGGUAGUUCUUGCGCUCGCCGGAAGUGACUGGCAUACGCACUUACCCGAUGGGCAUGGUGGACCCCUCCAUGACUCCUGAGAAGGGCUUGGUCGGCAUCAGUUGUUCGUACGACAGUUGGAGUGUCUCGAAGGUCUCGACCAAGAGGACGUUGAUCCCUGCUCCACUCUUGAUAAAGGUCUUGGUGACGAGGACGUUGCUGAUGGUCAGGGUGCACAUCAUGGGGAGCUUGCCGGCCAUGAACGAGCACCUGAGCUGAUCACUUGGGUCGAAGGUGAUGGUGGUAUGGGACCAGUUGAGGGGCGCAUCACUUUAGGCUUCGGGAGAGAGUCAUACACCUCCCGGAUGAACUGCUUGAAGGCGCGGUUCGAGGCCGGGGUCUGGGCGCCGCCCAGGAUGGAGGCCCCCACCCUAACCUCCUGGAAGCCCCCAACCCCAUCAUUCUGCUUGUCUUCAUCCCUCCUUCUGGGUGGCGGAGGCAGCGGGGACAACCCAGCCUCACGAGGGCGAGCCUCACGAGGCUGACCGCGUCAUUGCCCCUCGUGAAGGUCGUCGCGCUAGUGGUCGUCCCGAGCCUGGUCGCGCCAGCGGUCCUCCUGAGGUUGGCCGCGCCAACGGUCUUCAUGAGGCUGUUCAUGCCACCCCUGACGCGGCUCCCGAUCAUCCCAGCGGCCUCCACUGUGACCACCACCACGCGCGGGGCCUCUGUCUCCCCUUCCGAGGCGCCUGCUGAAGUGCUCGGCACGGACCAGUCGGAGCUUGUGGCACUCGGAGGUGUCAUGGGCGCUGGUGCCGUGGAAGAUGCACAUUGGCCCCCCUCCUGACGGACGCUCUCCCCCUCGGCUGUACUUUGCCUCAGGCUCGGCUGCGAGCACCGCCAGAGCCUUGCGCUUUGUCUCCUUGGCCUUGGUCUUCUUCUCUUCUGGUUCCGCUGCCUCAGGCUCGAGGAGCGACAUGCGACCUUCUUCAGCCCUGGCGCAGUUGUUUGCCAGGUUCAACAUCUCCAGUGCAGUGCUCAUUUCAUCACUCAUGGCGAGCUCCUCCUUCAUCUUGAGGUCGGUGACUCCUUCCGAGAAGACCGAGAUGACGGCCUCGUCCGACGCCCUGGGGAUCUUGAGGCGCAUUGUCGUGAAGCGAUGUAUGAACAUGUGCAGGGUCUCCCCCUCCUGCUGUUUGGUGCGCCGUAGGUCGUUCACGGUGGGAGCGCAGUCACGGGUGCCCUAGGAAUUGGCGAUGAAGCAUUCACACAGAUUAUCCCAGGGGGUGACGUACGCCUUUGGGAGGUUGAGCAGCCAAGAGUGCGCGCCUCCCUUGAGCACCAUGGGUAACCAGCAUGCCAUGACCUUGUCGCCCCCUCCUUCCUCCCUAAGACUCAGUGUGUAGAGUUGCAGGAACUCGGUCGGGUCCAGGGUGCCGUCGUGGCAUGGGGGUAGGUCGGGCUUUAACUUGCAGGGCCACGUAGUUGGGUAGAGCUCAGGGGCGAUGGCGAGUUACCCCAUUGGCCCGACAAGUGCAAUGCGCGCGAGGGCGACCUGGUCCUGUUGCUCCAAGGGGUCUACUUCGAAAGGGGCACACUCCCGGUGCGAGAUUUGUAGCGCCAGGAGCACGUGUGUGUCGGCGCGUGGCCGAGGAACCACCCGAAAGCUUGCUUCAUCUCUUGGUCUCACCCUAGGUUCGUGACGCCGGUCGCGGGGACGCGCUUCCUUCCUGGGUUUGGGGUGCACACCAUGCCGCAGAGGUGGGGGUGGUGGGUCUUGCUCCUCGUCGUUCUCUAAGGACGGUUGGGGUCAAAACGAGCAGGAGAGCACCCCGGGAUCAUCGACAGCGGCGACGAGCUCCUUGAUGCGCUGGAGCGAGUCGUUGUGGCGGUCAAGGGCGGGCCGGUAGCAGAGCAGCUCGACAGCCAUGGCAAGCACGCGUCGGCCAUGCGGCAUCUCUCGCCAGGCGCGCGAGGCCGACUCGGAAGCCCGGACGAGCGAUGGAUUGACGAUGCGGCCGUCGGGCUGCUCGGUAGCCGGCUGGGAGGAACCUUUCUAUUCUUGAGCAUCAGGGCCCAUGGCGGCGUUCACCAUGGGUGAUGGUGAACGGCGCACGCCGGUGGGCCCCAUGGGUUCCGUCUUAGCAACACGGAUGGCGCGGCGCUCAGCGCGAGCCCGGCGAGCGUCAGCCAUCGGAGCGGCGAAGCUUGGGAAGGCGGAGCUUGGAGGAAACCUUGACACGCCCCUACCUGGCGUGCCAAACGUCGGAUUUCGGGCUCCGCAAAACCCUAAAGAUUCGAACUCAGGGGCGUGUACGAAGAUCUCUCGCAGACUUGCCUCACCUAACUCGCUACUCGCUGGGGAUGGCAGAGAACUCACUCGAUGGUGAGGAAGACACAUGACACGACAGUUUACCCAGAUUCGGGCCGCUGAGAAGCGUAAUACCCUACUCCUGAUUUGGUGGAUUGCCUCUCGUGGAGGUUGGUGGAUGAACUAGUACAGUGUUCGAGGGCCUCCGGAGGCUGGGUGGCCUUUCUGUGGUGCAGGUGGGUGAAUGAAUGAAUCUCCCCCUAUGAAGUAACCUACUCUCCAUAUAUAUAGUGGCGGCCCCGGUCGUCUUCCCUUAUCGUUUCGGCGGGAAGGGAUCCCACAACGGCCAAUUUUGAAGGGGAACACGGGAACAUGCUCCCCUGCCCAAAGGUAGUCUUCGCCUCCAAAGUGGCUGCCAGCGCUGCAGGGACGGGUCCAGGGAUGACGUGUGCCCUGCAGGCGGGCGGUGAUGGCCUUGUCGCACGAGAAAGGAAACCUUUUGAAGAUGCCCUCGGAACCCCGGUACGUCCUUGCCCCCUUUGCACUAAAGGGGAAACUGCUCUGUCCUGCUGUCUGCUGCUCGCGUGUCCUUUCUCCGCGUCAUCCUUGACUCCUGAGGUCGGGUCUCACCUCGGAAUAUCCGCCGCUCCGGAGGGGUACUGAUGGGGCCCCCUGCGGUUCUUGAUGUUGUUCCUCCUUGCAAGGCUUGGCCCCUCGCGAGGACCUUGCCUUGAGUGGUACCGCGCCCGAUCGUGCUUGCUUGAUGAAGUGGGCCAGCCCUGGGCUGCAGGCAGACAGGUCUGGGUACCCCCAUUCCUAGAACGCCGACACUCUCCUCCCUCCUUGCUAGAUCAAGGCGUUGGAGACGUCACCGGGCUGCACGUGUGUUGAACGUGGAGGCACCGUGAUUCGGUGCAUAGAUCGGAAUCCACCGCGAUAUGAAUCGCUGCGAGUACGACUCCAUCAACCGCGUUCUAUAAACACUUCCGCUUAGCGAUCUUCAAAGGUAUGAAGAUGUUCUACCCCUUUGCUCGUUGUUGGUUUCUCCAUAGAUAGAUCGUUGUGUGAAGUAGGAUUUUUUUGAAAUUACUAUGUUCCCCAACAAGGACCAGGUAAUGGAGUCCUCAGUGUCACGAUAAAGCUGGAUAUCCGAGAGGAGCUCCGAGAGGCGGACGUAUUAUUCCAUGUGUUCGACCGUGAACACAUCCACCGCAAAGUCUGAGUUCCAGUUGUUAUCAGCGUGAGCGUCCUCGACCGCCCGAUUCUUCCUCUUGGAAGCCUUGAAAAUAAGGGGAGCCAGGUUUUUUGGCGGGACGCCGUGGAGCCAUGAAGACGACCAGAAGGAGGCCUUGGCGCCAUUUCCGAUGGUGACGCGAGUAGCCGCAUUGAAGAGGUCAAGGUAGAAGGCGUCGUUGGGGGUUUCAGAGCUCACCCAUGGCUUCUCAGGAGCCUUCCACUCAUACCAUAACCAGCGAAACCUCAAGGCCCGGGAGAACUUCUCCAGGUCCAUGCUACGAUAACAAAAGUCAAUCCCCGGCAACGCCAGGAAUUCUUCUUUCUACUUCUCUUGUUUGCGGCGGUUUUUCCCUUGAAGAAGAAAGGGUGAUGCACCACAGGAGCAGUAAGUAUUUCCCUCAGUUUGAGAACCAAGGUAUCGAUCCAGAAGGAGAGUCUCGUCAAGUCCAGAGUACCUGUGCAAACACAAACAAGCUUGCACCCAACGCUUCAAAGGGGUUGUCAAUCCCUUCAAGAUUGUUUGCAAAGUGAGAUCUGAAGGCGGAAAGUGCAACGAAGUAAAAAGGUGUAAGGCUGAAAAUAUGGUGUGGAGUAGACCCGGGGGACAUAGUGUUCACUAGAGGCUUCUCACAAAAUAGGAAAUAUCACGGUGGGUGAACAAAUUACUGUCGAGCAAUUGAUAGAACCGUGCAAAGUCAUGACGAUAUCUAAGGCAAUGAUCAUACAUAUAGGCAUCACGUCCGAGACAAGUAGACUGAUACUUUCUGCAUCUACUACGAUUAAUCCACACAUCGACCGCUAUCUAGCAUGCAUCUAGUGUAUUGAGUUAAUGACGAACAGAGUAACGCUUUAAGCAAGAUGACAUCAUGUAGAGGGAUAAUCUCAAACCAAUGAUGAAAACCCCAUCUUUUUACCAUUGAUGGCACUAACACGAUGAGUUCCUCGCUAUCCCUUCUGUCACUGGGUGAGGUCACCGCACGGUAUGAACCCAAAACCAAGCACUUCACCCAUUGCAAUAAUCAUAGAUCUUGUUGGCCAAACAAAACCCACAAAUCAAAGAGAAUUACAAGGAUAUGAAAUCACGCAUAAGAGAGAUCAGAAGAAACUCAAAUAAGAUUCAUAGAUAAUCUGAUCAUAAAUCCACAAUUCAUCAGAUCUCGACAAACGCACCGCAAAAGAAGAUUACAUCGGAUAGAUCUCCAUGAAGAUCAUGGAGAACUUUGUAUUGAAGAUUCAAGAGAGAUAAGAAGCCAUCUAGUUACUAGCUAUGGACCCGUAGGUCUAUGGUGAACUACUCACGCAUCAUCGGAGAGGUCAUGGUGUCGAUGAAGAAGCCGUCCGUAUCCGAAUCCCCCCUCCGGCAGGGCACCAGAACGUGCCCCAGAUGGGAUCUUGCGGAGACAGAAGCUUGCGGCGGCGGAAAAGUACUUUAUACGAUCUCCUGAUUUUUUAUGGAAUUUUAGAGAAUAUAUAGGCGCAAAACCUAGGGAAAGGAGGUCCAGGGGGCCCACAAGCCUGUGGGCCGCGACCUCCCCCGUGGCCGCGGGGUGAGGGCUUGUGGGGCCCCUGGGCCCCCCUACCUUGGCUCUCCAGUCUCCUGAUCUUCUUCCAUUACGGAAAAAAUCUUUUCAGGAAUUUUAUUCCGUUUGGACUCCGUUUCAAAAUCUCCUCUGAAAGGGGUCAAAAACAAGGAAAAAACAGGAACUGGCACUUGGCACUGAGUUAAUAAGUUAGUCCCAAAAAAUAUAUAAAAGGCAUGCAAAACAUCCAAAGUUUGACAAGAUAAUAGCAUGAAACCAUAAAAAAAUUAUAGAUACAUUGGAGACGUAUCAAGCAUCCUCAAGCUUAACUCCUGCUCGUCGUCGAGUAGGGAAGUGAUAAAGAAAGAAUUUUUGAUGUGGAAUGCUACCUAGCAUAGUAGUCCUUUGCAACUUCUAUCACGUGACAUGAAUGUUCAGAUCCGUAAUAUUCUAAACAAUAGUUUGUAUUGACAUGAAAACAAUAAUACUUCAAGCAAACUAGCAAGGUAAUCAUGAACUUUCAAAAUAACAAGGCCAAUGAAAGUUAUCACUACAAAAUCAUAUAGUCUGGCUAUGCUCCAUCAUCCUCACACCACUAAUGUAAAUCAUGCACAACCCCGGUAUUGGCCAAGUAAUUGUUUUCACACUCUUACUUUCUCAAACUUUUUAUAACUAUCACGCAAUACAUGAGUGUGAGCCAUGGAUAUAGCACUAUAGGUGGGAUAGAGUGUGGUGGUGGUUGUGAGACAAUAAGGAGAAGAUGGUCACAUUGACUCGGUGUAUCAAAGGCCUAUGGAGAUACCCAUCAAUAGAUAUCAAUGUGAAUGAGUAGGGAUUGCCUUACAAGAGAUGCACUAGAGCUAUAAGUAUGUGAAAGCUCAAAAGGAAAAUUAGUGGGUGUGCAUCCAACUUGCUUGCUCACGAAGACCUAGGGCAAUUUUGAGGAAGCCCAUCAUUGGAAUAUACAAGCCAAGUUAUAUAAUCAAGAUUCCCACUAGCAUAUAUAGUGACAAAGCAAGAAUCUCUCAAUCAUGAAGAACAUGGUGCUAUUAUGAAGCACUAGUGUGGAAAAAGAUAGUAGCAUUGUCCCUUCUCUCUUUUUCUCUCUUUUUUUCAUUUGGGCUCUUAGGCCUCUCUUUUUUCUCUUUUUUUUAUUUUUGGGCGCUUUGGCCUCUUUUUUUUAUUUCCUCACAUGGGACAAUGCUCUAAUAAUGAUGAUCAUCACACUUUUAUUUACUCACAGCUUCAAAGCUCAAAAUGAUGAUGACUCUAUAGGAAAUGCCUCCGAUAGUGUACCGGGAUGUGCAACAAUCUAGCAGGGUGUAUGAUGUUGGAAACAUCUCGCCAGCUAUCUUACGAUCAUGCAAUGACAAUAUGAGAGUGAUGGCACAAGUCAUGAGACGGAACGGUGGGAGUUGCAUGGCAAUAUAUCUCAGAAUGGCUAUGAAAAUGCCAUAGUAGGUAGGUAUGGUGGCUGUUUUGAGGAAGGCAUAUGGUGGGUUUGUGUACAGGCGAGAAUUGCGCGGCACUAGAGAGACUAUCAAUGGUGGAAGGUGAAAGUGCAUCUAUACCAUGGACUCAGAUUAGUCAUGAAGAACUCACAUACUUGUUUUGAAAGUUUUUAUUAGUAAUCAAAACAAAGUGCUAAACGCAUACUCCUAGGGGAAGGGUUGGUAGGUGUUAACCAUCGCGCGAUCCCGACCUCAACACAAAGGAUGACAAUCAAUAGAUCAAUUAUGCUCCGACUUCCUAGCAUAGCGGUUCACCAUACGUGCAUGCUACGGGAAUCACUAACUUCAACACAAGUAUUUAUAGAUUCACAACACCCUACUAACAUAGAUCUUAAUAUUACCAAAUCUACGUCUCAAAACAAAUUGAGAGGAAUCAAAACUUCUCUUUCUACUCAAUGCACAUGAAGAUGGAGGUUUUUGCGUACUCUUUGGGUACCUAUCACAUUUUGUACUACUUUCAUAGCAUAAGCCAACUACCAAGUCACGCACCGCCGUGCUCUAAAAGAUAUAAGUGAAGCACAAAGAGUGAAAGUAUCUAGUUCAAAAGAUAUAAAUGAAGCACUAUGAGCAUUCUAGCAAAAUCACGAUGAGUGCAUGUCUAUCUCUCUCGAAAAGGUGUGCAUCAAGGAUGAUUGUGACACAACAAAAAGAAAAGACUCCUAAGAUACAAGACGCUCCAAGCAAAACACAUAUCGUGUGGUGAAUAAAAAUAUAGCUCCAAGUAAUGUUACCGAUGGAUUGAAGACGAAAGAGGGGAUGCCUUCCAGGGGCAUCCCCAAGCUUAGGCAUUUUUGUGUCCUUGAAUUUGUCUUGGGAUGCCUUGGGCAUCCCCAAGCUUGAGGUCUUUCCACUCCUUAUCUCUUUGUCCAUGAGAACAUCACCCAAAACUUGAAAACUUCACAACACAAAACUAAAACCGAAACUCGUGAUAUCAUUAGCACAAGAAAAUAAACUACCACCUCUUUUGGUACUGUAGCAAACUUGAAUUCUAUCUAUAUUUGUGUUGGGCUACUGUAUUCUCACUUUUCCAUGGCUAGUACCCCCGAUACUAACCAUAGUUUCAUCAAAACAAGCAACCACCUCAACAAAAACAGAAUCUGUCAAAAACAGACCAGUCUGUAGCAUUCUGUAUACUUCGUAUACUUCUGGUACCUAAAAAAUUCUGAACAAUUACGACUGCGUGGCAAAACGCAUAUAAACCAGCAGAAAAAAGAAUCAACUCAAAACCUCUUUCUGAAUUAAUAUGAAAAAUCAUCUCGUGAGCGAGAAGUUUCUGUCUUUUUUCCUGCAGGAUCAAACAACCAUCACCAAGACUAGUCAUAAAGGUUUUGCUUGGCUCAAACACAAAAAUAAACACAAAAAACACAAUCGCAACAGAAUUAUGAUGGUGUGGACACAACAAAACAGAAAUAAAAGGAUAAAUUCAUUGGGUUGCCUCCCAACAAGCGCUAUAGUUUAACGCCCUUAGCUAGGCAUUGAUAAUUAGAUGAUGCUCACAUAAAAGAUAGCAAUCGAACACGAAGAGAGCAUCAUGAAACAUGUGAAAAUCACAUCUAAGUCUAACAUACUUCCUAUGCAUAGGCAUUUUAUAGGAAAACAUAUUAUCAAGACAACCAAUAGUUGCCAUAUGCAAGGAAGAAGAAAGAGACAAUAGCAAUCUCCACAUAACGAGAGGUAAUUUGGUAACAUGAAAGUUUCUACCACAAUAUUUUCCUCUCUCAUAGCAAUUACAUGUGGGAUCAUAAUCAAAUUCAACAAAAUAGCUAUCACAAAGGAUAUUAUUUUCAUGAUCCACAUGCAUGCAAAGUUGACGCUCUUAAAAAAUAGUGGGAUUAUCAUCAACUAAAGUCAUUACUUCUCCAAACCCACUUUCAAUAUUAUUGCAAAUAUCAUUGCAACAAGUAGUGGACAUAGCAAAACUAGCAUCCCCAAGCUUAGGGUUUUGCAUAUUUUUAGCAUGAUUGUCACAAAUAGAAUUUAUAGUGAAACCAUUACAAUCAUGCUUUUCAUUCAAGGAGCCCUCGUGAAUCACUUCAUGAAUUUCUUCAUCACGAUUUUUAGAUUCACGCAUCUCAAGCAAAACUCCAUAGAGAAAGUCAAGUGCACUCAACUCACUAGCAAUUGGAUCAACAUAAUUGGAUCUCUUAAAGAGAUUAGCAAGUGGGUGAGGAUCCAUAUCACUAGAUUUUCAGCAAGCGAAGAUGCAAGGAUAUUGAAGGCACAUAGCACACAAGCAACAGAAAGGAGGCGAGAGAAAAGGGCGAACGAAAAAGGCAACUGAAAAAGGCAAAAGAAAAAGGAAAAUUGUGAAGUGGGGGAGAGGAAAACGAGAGGCAAAUGCCUAACAAAGUAAAUGAAAGAGAUGAGUUUGCAACACCUACUUGGAUGAUUUCUUGACUUGAUCCUCCCCAGCAAUGGCGCCAAAAAUUCUUCUGCUACGGCAACAAAAGUCCUUCCCCGGCAACGCCAGAAAUUCUUCUUCCUACUUCUCUUGUUUGCGUCGAUUUUCCCUUGAAGAGGAAAGGGUGAUGCAGCACAGGAGCAAUAAGUAUUUCCCUCAGUUUGAGAACCAAGGUAUCGAUCCAGAAGGAGGGUCUCGUCAAGUCCAGAGUACAUGCUCAAACACAAACGAGCUUGCACCCAACGCUUCAAAGGGUUGUCAAUCCCUUCAAGAUUGUUUGCAAAGUGAGAUCUGAAGGCGGAAAGUGCAACGAAGUAAAAAGGUGUAAGGCUGAAAAAUAUGGUGUGAAGUAGACCCGGGGGCCAUAGUGUUCACUAGAGGCUUCUCUCAAAAUAGCUAAUAUCACGGUGGGUGAACAAAUUACUGUGGAGCAAUUGAUAGAACCGCGCAAAGUCAUGACGAUAUCUAAGGCAAUGAUCAUACAUAUAGGCAUCACGUCCGAGACAAGUAGACCGAUACUUUCUGCAUCUACUACUAUUACUCCACACAUCGACUACUAUCCAGCAUGCAUCUAGUGUAUUGAGUUCAUGACGAAUAGAGUAAUGCUUUAAGCAAGAUGACAUGAUGUAGAGGGAUAAUCUCAAACCAAUGAUGAAAAUCCCAUCUUUUUACCCUUGAUGGCAACAACACGAUGCGUGCCUCGCUACCCCUUCCGUCACUGGGUGAGGUCGCCGCACAGUAUGAACCCAAAAGCAAGCACUUCUCCCAUUGCAAGAAUCAUAGAUCUAGUUGGCCAAACAAAACCCACAACUCGAAGAGAAUUACAAGGAUAUGAAAUCAUACAUAAGAGAGAUCAGAAGAAACUCAAAUAAGAUUCAUAGAUAAUCUGAUCAUAAAUCCACAAUUCAUCGGAUCUCGACAAACACAUUGCAAAAGAAGAUUACAUCAGAUAGAUCUCCACGAAGAUCAUGGAGAACUUUGUAUUGAAGAUCCAAGAGAGAGAAGAAGCCAUCUAGUUACUAGCUAUGGACUCGUAGGUCUAUGGUGAACUACUCACACAUCAUCGGAGAGGUCAUGGUGUUGAUGAAGAAGCCCUCCAUAUCCGAAUCCCCUCUCUGGCAGGGCACCAGAAGGUACCCCAGAUGGGAUCUUGCGGAGACAGAAGCUUGCGGCGGCGGAAAAGUACUUUCGAUGAUCUCCUGAUUUUUUAUGGAAUUUUAGAGAAUAUAUAGGCGCAAAACCUAGGGCAAAGGAGGUCCUGGCUCUCAAGUCUCCUGAUCUUCAUCCGUUACAGAAAAAAUCUUUUCGGGGAUUUUAUUCCGUUUGGACGCCUUUUCAAAAUCUCCUCUGAAAGGGGUCAAAAACAUGGAAAACAGGAACUGGCACUUGGCACUGAGUUAAUAAGUUAGUCCCAAAAAAUAUAUAAAAGGCAUGCAAAACAUCCAAAGUUUGAUAAGAUAAUAGCAUGAAACCAUCAAAAAUUAUUGAUACGUUAGAGACGUAUCAGUCCAAUAACCCCAAACCACCGAGCUCCUUGGGGUGACAGACCUUUUGCGAGUUGACUUUGCAUUUCCCUCCACUAAACGCCUCCUCACAGGACCAGAGCAUGCCACGGAUGAUCUUCGCAAAGGCCUUGAGGAUGCCUUUGUCAGCCUUUAAAGCCGUCAGCAAGAAGAUUGGCAUGGAGGAGAGAACGAACUUAACCAGAGCAGUGCACCCGACAUGAUUCAGGAACUUUGCUUUCCACGGGCUAAGACGAGCCACCGCCUUGUCCAUGUAGGGUUGAAGGUCCACAUGCCUAAGUAUUCCGAGGGAGAGGGGUAACCACAGGUACUUAAUGGGGAAGGAGGUCGUAGUCGCUCGGAAGUUCGCCAGAAUCUCCUCCAAGUUGAUGUUGGCGCAUUGGAUGGGGGCGAUGGAGCUCUUGGUCACAUUUGUCACAAGGCCAGAGACUACCCCAAAACUCUGUAGUAUGCUAGCAAGGCCUUCCACAUUAUGUGUCAUGGGGAAUAGAAAAAUGGCAGCGUCAUCCGCCUAGAGGGAGACCCUGGGGCCCUGAAUACCUCUAGACAUAGUAGACAGCAGGCCGGAUUCCGUAGCCUUUUCCAGAAGUCUCUGAAGUGGGUCCAUGGUGAUGUCAAACAAUAGGGGUGAGAGGGGAUCUCCCUAACGAAGACCACGACCAUGUAGGAUGUACUUCCAAGGGAUUCCGUUGAGGAAAACCCUAGAGGAGGCCGUGGUGAAGAGAGUCGUCGGGAGGCCCGCCAUCUUUGAGGAAAGAUGAGGCGUUGCAAAAGAUCUAGCAUGUAAUCCCAGCGAACAGUGUCGAAGGCCUUGGUGAUGUCCAAUUUGAUGAGAAGGGAUGGAGUUUUGCUGUGGUGUAACUGGCGGGCGGUGUUCCUGACGUACAUGAAAUUUUCGUGGAUAGUUCUAGACUUGAUGAACGCGCUGUGACUGCGGGAAACAAUGGCGUUCAUCUUCGGGCUGAGACGUCGUGCCAUAGCUUUGGCAAUGAUCUUCGGGACCGGAUGGAUGAGACUGAUGGGCCUGAAAUCCGAUAUGGACUCCGCAUCGUCCUUCUUAAGGAGAAGCACGACAUUGGUUGUGUUGAUGAUGUGGAAAUUGGACACUGACAGCUCGGAGAAGGCAUGGAUGGCGGUCAUAAGGUCAUCCUUGAUUAUAUCCCACCAAGAGCGAAAGAAGGCGAUAGUAAAACCCUCAGGGCCUGGAGCCUUGUCAGAGGGCAUGUCAUCAAUAGCCUCCUUUAUCUCACCCUUAGAGAAAGGCAUGCCCAGAUCCUCCAGGGGGUGGGUGGUGGGGUUCAGGGCAUCCCAGUUGAAGUCCAGCAUACGAGGAGGAGGCCGACCUAGAGCGUGGGAGAAGUGGUCGAAGAUCAGCCUGGAUUUAUCAUCGCGAGUCAUAGCCUAGCCAGUGUUAUGCUUGAGUCUCAAGAUAUGAUUUUUGUGCCUCCUCGCAUUAACUCGUAGAUGGAAACAUUUGGUGUUGGCGUCGCCCUCGCGAAGGUAGCAAAUUCUGGAGGCUUGACGUGUGUAGGAUCUUUCCAGAGCAGCGAGACCCUUAACCCGAUGUUUCAGGUUAGCAUGGAGCCAUGUUUCUUCGUUGGGGAGUGUGCGUGACUCUUGAGCAACAUCCAGGUGCAGAAUGCCAUCCAGGGCCAUGAGGAGUUGUAGUUUGCCAUAAGAGAAGAGGCCUUUUCUCCAAGAUCUGAGCCCAUGUGUUGUGGCCUUGAUCUUGUGAUUGAUGACAUGUACCGGCUGAGAGUGCGAGGAGGGUGCAAACCAAGCUUGUUGGACCACCUCCUUGAACCCCGACAUUUUGCUCCAGAAGGACUCGAAGCGAAAGAAAGGCGGUUUUCACGGGCCACUCUAGAUGGAAAGGAGGAGGGGACAGUGGUCCAAGAGGGACGAGGACAGGGCAUGUAGCACAUGAUUCUCGAACAUAAGGUCCGAAGCAGCAUUGCAGAAAGCCUGGUCCAGACGCACAAGAGUAGGGGUCUCCCUUUCGUUGCUCCAAGUAAACCUCCGGUUCUGCAGCUUCAACUCCUUAAGCUGACAGAUGGUGAGGGCUCUUCUGAAGAGACCCAUCAGGCGGAAGUCCAGGUUGUUGUUGUUCUUGUCCUCCGCUUGGUAGAUAAGGUUGAAAUCCCCAAUGAUGAGCCAUUUUGAGUCGUCAGAAGGCUUGGCGGCAAUAGAUUCUAUGAGAAAGGCUUCUUUCUCGGCAUGGUCUGUAGGGUCGUAGACCGUAGUGAGCUUGAAGGAGGUACCACAUGCGCGAAUGGAGAUGCUAGCCAAGAUUAAGUGAGUGCCGAGGUGCACGUUGGAGACCUCCACAUGAUCCUCGUUCUAGAGUAAGAGGAUGCCACCCCGGGUGCCGACGGUCGGACGGUGAGCAAAGGAGCGAAUUCUAAGACCGCUCUUAUAAGAAGUCGUUUGUUGAUCGAUAUGGUCGAGCUUGGUCUCUUGGAUACAAGCAAUAUGACAGUGAGUAUCGGCGAGGAAGGUGUGGAUGGUGUCUUUGCGACCUUGGUCAUUCAGCUCGCGGGUGUUCCAUUCAGUGAUGGAGAGAUCAGGUCCGAUCAUAGUGACAACAACCAAGGUGACGUGAUAACUUAAAAGACGAACACAGAGACUUGUCCACAAAGUGAUACAGAUGAUGAAAGGCGGCAGGAAAGCAAGGAACUAAAUAUUUACGUCCUAGGCAUCUGGCUCGCACCCUCCUGGACCUCCCAUGGCCAUGAGCGACUCGUCCGCUUCGGCCAUGCUACAGAAUUUGAGCUUGAAGAGCUUUGUUAGAACUUCAAUCGCCUUGUGCGGAAGCGGGGUGUUGAACUUGUCGAUGUAAUCCUUCCUCGCAACCAGCAGAGGGACUCCUUAAGCAGCAACACCCAUCUUGGUGUUCAGCACAUGGACUGCCUUAUCCAUGGCCUGCAUUUUUGUCUUGUUGAUCAAACGGGCACUGUGCCUGGUUUCAGUAGUGGGAUGCACCUCGGGUAGCUUAGGCAUCAGCAGUGCAGGCACAGGGCACAGAGGAUAGGUGCCUGAGGGCGCACACAAAGGUUUUUGCCGGGGGUUGGAGGGCGUUCUUCGGCCACGGAGUUGCCAAGGACCUGCCUGGCCUCGUCCUCAGCGGCGUCCCCGAUGGCGUCUACCCAAGAGUCCGACACCAUAGCCGGUGAGAGCAGCGGAGAUAGAGCCACGUGUAGGAGUGGCGAGGCGAGGGGCGUUGCCGAGUCGUCCAUCACGUCGUCCAGCCAAACGCUGGGGAGGGGAGGCUCGUUCUGCACUUGUGGUGUGGGCGAGGCGAGUCGCGCGAAGCCCAUGGUGAAGGCCGACGGCAGCACCUUGAUAGCGAACGUCCAGUCCAUGCAAGCCGCGUCACAUGCAAUGACGGAGGAGAGUUUCUUCCGUGCCAGGGAGUCACAGGCCAGGCUGCUAGGAGCACAACUGUGCUGCUCGGUGAUGUGGCGAUGGUGACCAUCAUGGUGGCCAGAGGAACAACCCGAACUGCGUCCAUAGGAGCGACCCCUCCCUCCAGGACGGUGAUGGCCUGCAGACUUGUUGCGGGAGAAGCGAGAGGAGUUGCGACGUGAGGACUCAUGGCGAGGUCCUCGGCGUUCCUCAUUGUCGUCGUCGUCUUCUCGGUGGUGGCAUUUGCACAUCACCCUGUCAUCGCAGCAAGAGCCGUGGCGUGAACGGGUGUGACGAUGAUCCUUCGUCUCCAUAGAGUGUGAACCGCGUCGGUCUGUGGUCCUGGAGAGGGAGCGAUGAGACGUGAUUCGUUCUUCCUCCGGCAAACGUGCGCGAGGCUGGUCAUCGUGCUCGCCACGAGCGAUAGAGAGCGAUGCUUUGACGUCAGAGCAAUGCUUGUUUGAUUUGGAGUUCUUCUUCUUCUUCUUCUUCGAUCAUAGGAUGGGUUCCAGGAUGACAACCUAGGAUUAGCAAGGAUGGGUGUCGCUUUUAUCAUUUGGUUUUGUUCAUAGUCAGGCCCUGCUCUUAUGUAUGGUGAUUGCUAUGGAUGUUUGCGUUGAUAUGAUCUGGAUGUAGCUUGUGGAGAGUGCAAGUCAAUUCCAUACACUCAUCUCGUCUUUACAUGUACUUGUAAUGAUAUCCAUUCUUGUGAAACAACGAGAUGCACUUCUAUCCCCAUUGAGGCCUCGACCCAAAAAUAAGGAUAGGGCCACAUCUUGGGUGUUACAUCAUGUUAUUUACAUUACAUGUAGAGUCAACUUCUUAUUCCAACCUCAAUCUAUUUGUUGGCAAGCACCAUGUGGUGGGGAAAUUUCCAGGCACAUAUAUUUCGUCAAAUAUAUUUGAUCGUGAUGCAUUAUUGUUGACAAGUAUCUCCACGAUAAGUACAUUGGGAGGCGAAACAUUAAGCUUUGAGUAUAUGCUUUGAGUAUUAGCAAUCAUAGAAGACUAUAUGAUAAUUUAGUGUGUGGAUCUCUUACUUAUACUUGACGAUUCAUUGCAAUUGUUUGAUAACUAUGAGCAUAUGUUGUUAAGUUUCAAGAGAAUGCAUUGUUUGAACCUUGACCUUGGAGUUGAUUGCUACUAUAUCAUGAUGAUUUUUAUGAGAAAAAGUUUUUGGUCAUGAUGCCAGAAAAGUGACUAAAUUUAUCAAUGAUCCAAACUAUUCACUAUGCUAGCAUUCACACUUAAUAAAUUACUUCUUUUAUCAUUUACUCGAGGACAAGUAGGAAUUAAGCUUGGGGAUGCUGAUACGUCUCCAACGUAUCGAUAAUUUAUGAAGUAUUCAUGCCAUACUUGCCUAUGUUUACAAUACUUUUAUAUGGGUUUGAUGCACUUUAUAUGAUUUAUUUAGAACUAACCUGGACUGACACUGUUUUCAACAGAAUUACCGUGGUGUUGUUUUUGUGCAAAAAAUAAAAGUUCUCGGAAUCACCCGAUUAUUUUAUGAAUUUUUCUGAAGAAAAAUAAGAAAUACCGGAGCGAAGAACCAUAGGAGGGGAGCCACAUGUGGGCCACAAUAUAACAGGGCAUGCUCACCCCUCGGCGUGCCCUAAUAGCUUAUGGGACCCUCAUGGCUCUGUUGCACGUGAUUCCAAUGCUAAAAAAUUGUAUAAAUCUCAAAAACCCCAGAGAUUACGAGAGCACUUCCCCUCUGCCAACGCAACUCUCUAUAUCAAAGAAAAAACAUCUUGAGCCUUUCUAGUACCCAGUCAUAGGGGGGAAGCAUCUUCAGUGGCCAUCUUCAUCAUCCCGGCAGAGGCCAUGAUGAGGAGGGAGUAGUUCACCCUAGGGGCUAAGGGUUUGUACCAGUAGUUAUGUGUUUGAUCUAUCUCCCUCCCUCUCUCUCUCUCUCUCUCUCUCUCUCUCUCUCUCGUGUUCUUGAGAUGUCCUGAUCUUGAUGUAUCACGGGCUCUGUUAAUAUAGUCGGAUCAUAUGGUGUUUGUUCCUUGCUAUCUUGUUGUGAUGAAGUGAAUCUUUCCCUUUCAUAUCUUGUUAUGUUGCAUUGAAUAUUGAACUUGAGAACAAUUCAUGUAUGUCUUGGUACUCAACUUGCAGAUUUCCGUGGUGACAAUGGGGUAAUCUAUGCAUAUGGGUUGAUACACAUUAUUGUCCUACCAUCCCUGAUAGAAAUCUUGGGGUACUCUUUGAAGUUCUUUGCGUUGGAUUGAAUAUGAUGAAUCUGAAAUAGUUUGAUGCAUGUCGAAUAAUUAAUCCACGGAUACUUGUUGUGACAUUGGAGUAUCUAUGUGACAUUAGAGUUGAUUGAUAUGUAUCAUAGGUGUUAUUCUAGUACGAACUCUAGGUCUGUUUGUGGCACAUAUAGGAAUAUCCCAAAAUAUUGAUAAAAAGAAUAACCUUGAAGUGGUUCGCUGCCUACGACGACUUCUUAUUUUCUUCUCCGCUAACAAGAACUUUGGAGUGAUUCUUUAUUGCAUGUUGAAGGAUGACCAUAUGAUUCUACUAUGUUAGCAUUAUUGAGAGAUUGCACUAGUGCACCUAUACAAUUUUCCAUUGUGUUGGGUGUGUUGGGAACAUAAAGAGAUUUCUUGUAUUUGAUUGCAGGUUUCUUUGAGAGAUACCAUCUUCAUUCUACACCUCCCACAGAUUGAUAAAACUUAGGUCAUCCACUUGAGGGAAAUAUAUUGCUGUCCUACAAAACUUUCCACUGGGAGGCCAACAAUGUCUACAAGAAUGUAGUUGCAUAGUAGACAUUAAGGGGAAUCAAAUUUUUCUCUUGGUGGAAGUGUAGAUCGAGGCUUUCUGCUCCAAACCCUAGAGUAGCAACAAGAUUUAAUGGCUAGUGAGGGAGAUUAGGCGAAAAUGAGCUUAGGAGCAAAAACAGAGCUUUGGGGGAAAAGAGGUGAGUCAACUUGGCGAAGAUGACUCACUUAUAUAGUGGGAAGAAACAUCCAGAUGUUAUGCCAUUCUGCGCAUGCAUAAGCAGUAUUACCGCUCUGAUGAGAGGUCUUCCUCUUGCACGAAAGUUCUUCGCACAUAGUGCAACUGACGAGCUGAACGAGGCGGUAGUGCCGCCGGAGUGGUACUACCGCUCCCACCAGCGGAAAUUCCUCUUAGUGCUACGAUAACAAGAGAACUGGCAGUAGUGAAGUGAGGUAGGACGGUAGUAUAGCCCAGAGUGGUACUACCGCCCUCUACAACCGCUCGAGUGUCAUUGAGAUGGAUAGUGCCAAAGUCAUAGCAAUGAAGUUUAAAAUAUUAAGGAAAGGAUCAAAAAAUUGGGCCACGGGCAUUUAUGAUUUGAAGAAAAUCAUAGCAAAUACUAACUUCAUGAUUCUUUCUUAUGAUACAUGUGAGGAAUUCACAACACUAACCUUGGAAGAAAAUAGUGCAGAGAUACCUUAAAAAAGCACCUGGAAACUAUUAUGCUGCAAUAGAGAAUUUGGAAAGGAAGGGCCACAAUAAGGAAAAUUAAGAUGGGAGAAGCUACCACCACAUAUUUCCAAGACAAAGCCACAUUUUAAUUUAGGAACAAUUGCAUUUCCAUGUUGCAACAUGUGGAUGGAAAUGAACAUUUUGAUGUUGCUGCUAAAGCUGCCAUUUUAUUUAGAUAUUUCAAAGACAGAAUUGGAACCUGUAAUCAAUCCGAGAAUCAUCUUUUGCUGCAUCAUCUAUUACAACUCUUGGAUUGUCUUGAAGAUCUAGAAACACCAUUCACCAAUGAGGAAAUUGAUAGGGUGAUAAAACAAAUGCCAUCAGAAAAGUCACCAGGGCCAUAUAGCUUAAAUGUUGCUUUUCUCAAACAUUAUUGGGAGAUCAUAGCACCUGAUUUUUACAAGUUCCUUGAAGAUUUUCACUCAGGCAAGGUCAAUAUAGAGAGAAUUAACUACUCAUUCACCACUCUCAUCACAAAGAUUGAUUCCGUGUCCAGACUAACUGAGUUCAGGCCUAUAUCUCUACUGAAUUGCACACUCAAGAUCAUCACUAAGAUUUUAGCCAACAUACUCCAAAGAUAUUUUCUCAGAUUGGUUCACAAAAAUCAGUAUGGCUUUCUAAACAAUAGAUGUAUCCAAGACUACUUAGCAUGGUCAUAUGCAUAUGUAUACCAAUGCAAUCAAAAUAGGAAAGAGCUCAUCUUGUUAAAACUGGACUAUGAGAAAGCAUUUGACAUGCUUAAUCAUGAAACCAUUAUUGAAUUUUUGAAUGCCAAAGGUUGUGGCAUAAAAGGAAUUCAAUUCAUAAAGUUGAUAUACGGGACUGGAUAUUCUUAUAUCCUACUGAAUGGAGUGCGUGGCAAAUAAUUCCUGUGCAAAAAAGGAGUCAGACAAGGACAUCCUCUGUCACCCCUGAUAUUUGUGAUUGUUGUUGAUAUGCUUCAAACAAUGCUCUAUGAAGUCAUGAAUAAUGCAAUUGUGGAGUCUCCCCUCACACAUGCCUCAUGCCUUGAUUACCCCUAUCAGGACCCCGAUCUUAAGCCAUACAAAUCUAGCAUUCACACCUCAUAUCACUUUGCGGCCUCAGCAUAGUAAACUCCACGGCUGCCACCUUACCUUGGUCGGGACCGCUUGCGUAUUUUGUCUCAAGUAUAUGAAUAUGUCGCUAGCAAUCAUAUGUUAGUGAACCCGGGUAGACAUGACUAGUUAUAAAUCCAAGUGGCACAUCCGUACGGGGAUAUGCAUACGUAAGCCAGCAAUGCAGGUGUCGAUCAGCAACUGCGUGUAGACGAGUCAUGGCAAGCUACAUGGACUCCGUUACACCGUGUGACAUUUCCCUGUAGGGACACACACAACAACAAAUAAGGAUACACGUCGCUCAAUCAAUGUGUUCGGAGUAGUAGAAAGCUACCAUGAAUCGAUGGAAGCACAAAGAGGCAUUUCCGUGUAAAGAGGGCUACUAAAGGCACACAACUAGGUGUCGAAUCCCACACAUACCAAUGCAUUUCAAACAUACACGCAAUAUGCACAAUAUGUGUAGAUACAACAUGGCAUCACAACAUAACUCUACAAUAUAACAUUUAUUUAGAAGGCUCCAAACAUCCAACAUAGUAUAAUGUUACUAGCAGGGGGUCGGAUGACCCAACAUCGAGAGCAUACAAACAACAAGCGGAAGUUACAUGUCUCGGUACAGACAUCUAUUAAAAAUGGUUGGAAGAGCCUGAAAAGCUACAACAACCCUAGCAAAGGAGUCAGACCUCUGUCUGGGACUCCCAAGCUAAUCUGGUCAAUGUCGAACAUGCCACCGAAAUCAGAAGUGAGACUGAAGUCUCCACUGCAAAAACAUAAAUAAGAAACCGUGAGUACAAAGGUACUCAGCAAGACUUACAUCGGAACUAUCUACAAAUGCAUCAUUGUCAACAAAGGGAGUUGUGGGAUUAUUGCAGCAAGCCAACUUUGACUCUUGGCUAAUCUGUACUAUGACCACGAACACUUUAUUUGAGGUGGGCUAGCGCACACGAGUCCACAUAUUCACCAAAUGAAUACACCACUAUGGAUCCACUCCAGUAUUCUUACGAGAAGGCCAUCCAUAGCACUCACACUUAUCUUGCGCAUUUUAGAGUAUCCAUUUCAAUUGUCUAUGCACCACAUAAGUUUCCAAGUAGUCCAUAUCCGAGGACGCGGCUAUUUGAACAGAUUAAUUUACACUGCAGGGGUAUACUUUUUCACACACGCUCUCACCACUUAUCACCAUAUACACGUCAUGCAUCUCAGCAACCUUCAAGAGAAAGCACUGGCAUGCGUGUCGGCCACGACCUAACUAACCACGCAAGACUCUAGUCUAGGUUUAUUGCCUAUUUGAGACGGAACCGCAAGGAAGACCGGCCGAAGUUUCCAUUACGGCCCCAAACGAUGUGUACAUGGUUCCCAAGCCCACGUCUAUUGAUGGUUCUAUGCUUGGUACACCCAGCCAUGAGUGCAUCUACCGCGCCAUAGCCUACCCCUCCGGUCAAAGCUAUGCAUGUCUACCAACACAUCCUAAAAACACCAGAAAUUAGUUGCAACUCUUGGACAGAGAUCAAGGCGAUUAAUAAGUCAAGAGAGUCAAUUAAGAAUCCCAAUGUGCGGUAGUAUCUUGUCUUCGAUAACAUACAUAUAACUUAGUUCUUAAGGAUGGUCUCAAUGAGACAACCCACCAUGUGCUCCUACAUGGCUUCUCAUCACUACCUUUACCAAAUCGGAUUCACACAGUUAUCUCUCACACAGUAGGACAUCAACACAACCAUUCUGAUUCAUCGCCCAGAUGGAUCAGACCCGACACGAUUCUAAGCAUAGCAGGCACAGUAAGCAAGCUUGGAUGAGUAAGCACAACAAGGCUUAAGCAGUUGCUACUCAUGCUAAGUAGUUUCAACUAGUUACUAUCACAAGGACAGGUCAUGCCAAGGAAUGGAUUCAAAUACCAAGAACAAGUAACAGUUGAAUCGUUGUUGUCCUAAUGCAUUUAAAAGAGAGCAGGAGCGAGAGAGUGGGAUUGUAUCGGAAUGCUUAAGGGGGGGGUUGCUUGCGUGACAGUUCUGAAGAUAUAACUUCUCUUCAUUAGUGUCAACGAUCACAUCAUCGAAAUCAUGUCUACUGGGACGGAACAUCACCAACAAAGAAGAAGGAACAUAUUCAAUGCAAUGCAACAACAUGAUGUAUGAUAUGACAUGUUAAAGUACUGAACUGACCUAAUACAUUAUUUAGUCUUAUUAAUUGAAGUGGAAUCCAAAUAUACAUGAAAUUCCAACACCAAACUAUUUACCAACAUUUUCCUAAUAACCAUUUGUCCUAGAUGGAGAUGUUAACUUUCUCAAACAUGCAUGAACAUGGCAUAAACAAAUUCCUUGCAUUUUCUGAUAAUUUUUAUAUACAAUUUAUUUUCAUUGGACAUACGGUUGAAGUUCUACAAAUUUACUAAAUUUUAAACAUUUCUGAAAUUAAUAACCAUUUUUAUUCCAGAAAAUCAUUCCCUCGUCAGCAUCACCUCAUCAUGACAUCAACGGGUCAACUCGGCCAGUUUAGGUCAAACCUCACAAGUGGGACCCGCAUGCCAUAGGCAUAGGGUUAAACCGCUUUUAGUUAAGACCAAUUGAACCUAUUAGGGCGCCUGGCCCCACAUGUCAGUGUCAGAGGUGUCUAGUUAAUUGGUAAUUAGGCUUAACCUAAUUACCUGACAGGCUGGACCCACCAGUCAGUGGCCCACGUUGGAAAGGUUCGACGCCGGUGUCCUCUAGCAACGGUGGAGUCCGCGCUAGAGGACACGAGGAUGGCGAAGACGGGAACCAGGGCGUAGCCCUCAUCCUCCCAUGUGUGGUGGGCCAUCUAGGGGCUGAGGGGA
rnacentral:lncRNA from 1 species